UAUAUAGAGUAGGACUGCUGUGCUCUCUGUGCUCCUGAGCCGUUUUCGAUGAUGGAAUUUUCAAAUCGACGAUCGGCUCCGUUAAACUUGAUCUAGCGUAUUUGAAGUUUCUAGAAAAUAAUUUUUGCGAUUUUUCAAUAUCAUUUACCUAGCAAUCGAAAGGAUUCAAAAUCAAUAAUUUUUAACGGCUGAAAAUAAAAAUCCUAUAAAAAGUGGUGAUAUAGCACUAAAAUUUUCGAUCAGAAAUAUUGAUCUUGUUGUAGAUAGUAUAAAGAAUUUUGUAUUAAAAUUUCAUCUGAUUUGAAUACUUCUACACCAUUAAAUUUGAAAACGGCAGAUAUCAACCAUUAAAAAUUAUGGAUUUUGAAACCUUUCGAUCACUAGGUAAAUGAUAUCAAAAAAUCGCAAAAAUUAUUUUCUAGAAACUUCAAAUGCGCUAGAUCAAGUCUAACGGAGCCGAUCGUCGAUUCGAAAAUUCCAUCAUCGAAAAUGGCUCAGGAGCACGGACCUCCGUGCUCCUGAGAGCACAGCAGCCCUGCUCUAUAUAUAUAUAUAUAUAUAUAUAUUACAAAGACCAAGCAGAAGAAAGAACAUGCAUUUACCAGAAUUAUCCUGAAUCAAAUUACUUGGUGAUGAACUAUUCAUGACUGUUACAGUCUUUGUACUUUGAGCUUCAGAUAGGCACUUCAUUUCCUCCAUAACAGUGGAACUUUCACUUUGGGAUGUUCUGGGACCUAAACUAACGGGCAAUUCUGCAUCUUUUUCUCCUGUAGUAGAAAUAUGAGUGCUCAAGUGACCAUCCUUAGAUUCAGUCACCAAAUUAGAUAUGUCACUCGUCUCGACUGACUUCUUGUUGCUAGAAGAUAAAUCAUUCAAUUCCAAGUCAUCAGGUAAAGAAGGUGAAGUUUCCUUACGAAUAACAUUUUCUGAUGCAUCAAAUGUAAUUUCAGUUUUAUCAAUAGUUUCUUUCGCAUCUUCAUCUUCAGUACUCUUCAUCGAUACAGCUACUACAGCAUUCUGGCAAGUUAAAGUCAUUGGAUCAGCGGGGAAGUCGUUCACAUCCUCUCUUUCGGUCUCUGUUUCAUGUUUUCUUAAAUCUACCUCGAUUGGGCUUUGCACUGUAACACCUGGUUUUGAAAUAGCGUCCUCGCCCCCACUGGCAACCUGGCCCCUGGAGUCUUGCUUUUCUCCAGAAACCUCCCUAUUAGAAUUAAGCUCACUUUCUUCUCCAGUUUUGAUUACUCCAGCAUCUCUUGUUGAAAGAGGGUCCUCAGUAUGGGAAACAGGAUCCCUUGAAUGAUAGUUGGGUUGGUAAUGGCCAAUAUCUUCAUGUUGUUCACGUAUAUCAGAAUGCUUACUAAUAUUUGCACAGCCAUCCACAACUGAAUGCUUUGACAUAGUUACAUCUGCUUCCACAUCUAAAGAAGAUAUCUCCACAGCGUGCAGGCCAGUUUCUGUGUGAGUUACAUUAUCUUUGCUCAAAGUCUUUACUGGAUAAGCAAUAGAUUCCAAUAAUCCAUCAGAGCUCCCAGAUAAUAAGGAUUCAUUGGUUCCUUUCUGCAGCAAUUCAAUUGAUCCCAAAGAUUUCAUGUUGCAAAGAUCAGCUUCAACAGUGUGACUUUCAGAAUGCUGAUUACCUUCACCAUCAAAAGAGGCAACCUGACUUUUAGCUUCUUGCUUCCUGUUUGGAUGCAAAUUAUCUGCAAAAGUCCUAUGAAUCUCCUGGAGUUUCAUUACCUGCUCAGAAAAUAAUUGAUUAUCAACAGAUAGAGGAGAAGGGUCAGAAUUAUUUCCUUCAGUUUUGCCCUUUAAAGUAUCUUCCAAAGGAUUCUCAUCCUCAAACACCUCAAAAUACUCAUCAACAACUAAACAGCUUCUUGAUGUAUCAUUGGAAGAUGAAGCCAACUUGUCAUCUACGGUGCCUUUCUCGGCAAUGGAGUUCAUAUCUGAGUUUGACUUCUCGCGCAACAAACUUUCACCUAAUUCAUAUCCAGAUUUCUCGUCCAGAGGAGUUUGAGAAAUGUCUUUAACCUGAGGCUGACUUAAUGCUACAUCACGUCUGCAUGAGGGAUCCAUAUGGCAAUCUAUCCCAUUCAGUCGAUCAUGUGCAUCUCCAUCCUUAGUGCCAUCCUUAUUGUGUGCCAUAUCAUCAUCUCCAACUGACCUCAGUAGCAUUUCAACCGAUUCGGAGGAAGUAGCCUCAGACCAGACAUUAUUGGUCCUAGAUAGUGAACAAGAUUCAGCUGCACUUGGACUAAAUUCUAUUGCACUGCUUACAGGUGAGAAGUCUUCAAUCCAAUUGUUUCCUUGACCUUGUAUGCCAAACAAAACCUCUGUCUCAACUAGAUUGUCAAACCUAAGAUGAACCUGAAGUUGCUCGUCGAUAUCAAAUUUCGGUACAGCAAAUGGCCGUAAACUGGGCGGAGAUUUAUUGCUGUCCUCCCCAAUUAGCUGAAAGUUUUGGCUCUGAAAGUCAUUGUCAUCACAAUCCAUUGAUGUAUGCCUGCAACAUCAAAAAAAUAUAACAAUUAAAUAUAAAGAUAAUAAAUAGCUAUAAAUAUGCCUGCUAACCAUGUGCAUUGUGCACACAGUAAAACAGUAAGAAUCAAAAACAUAACCAGGAAAGUUGAGAAAGUUUCAUAAGAGUUAAUACGUCCAUACGAAAAGCAAUUUUUACCAAUCGAAAUAGUUUCAAGUAUCCAAGUAAGCAGAAUAAACAUAAAUGACAAUACGGAAUUAAAAAAAAGAAUUAAAAAUUCUAAUGUCAUACCUAAUAGAAUUUUUACUGUCACCCAGCCAAAUUCGGAUGAUCAUCCAGGUUAACACAAAGAACCAACGGUGACAAUGAUACUCAAAUAGCCUAAACUCAUUUGACUUAAUACCUCAAUCAACCCGUUAGGCACAAACAACUUUAGACCUUAACAGAAAACCACUUCAUACUGAUUUUAUACUUGUCUGCUGAAAAAGAACAACAUUCGAGGCUUCACUAUCCAAUGAAUAUGUCGAUUUUGGCAUGUAUUUCUUAGCAAAUCGCUGGCAUAGUGAUUUACAUUCAAGUGAGUUAAUAAAGAAUAUUUCCAACAAAAAACUACAAAACCACCAUUUGAAUUACGUGUAUUGCUUUUAGCGGACUAAUGAAAAUAUUUUUAAUUCACUUAUCAGUGAUGAGACAAAUCUAUGUAUCAUACCAAUUUAAUCUCUAUGUUAUGGCUACAUAAUGUUGAUCUGAAAGGUCUUAUAUAGAAGAGGAUCCACCAAAGCACACCUGCAACCACCCUAUUGAGCUAACCAUCCUGUUAACCCGGAUAGGUUGAAGACCAAGCAAGCUUGGACAGCUACCAAGAAAAACCCAAUUCAAGUCCUGCCGUUUGUUUAGUAUGAAAUAUCAAAUAAACAUUAAAACUUCUUGGAAAGAAACCCGCUUUCCCUAUUCCUUAUAACAUUUCCUCAUUAACACCAAUUAUCUCCUCAGACAUCUUUUUCCACUGUUGCAUAUGAGGAAAUCCUUGCCUUACUUUCACCUCCAUCAUAGCCCGAUUACUUGGCUCCAGCGGUGACAUCUUUCUCUGUUAAAUCCAACCCUCUCUCCCCCUCUCGCUGGACUACGGGGUAGUAAUCGACCCAAUGAUAGGCCAUGGCUCGAAACCGUCACUGUUAAAUCGCGCAACAUCUCUCUCAACAAAUAUGGAAAGAAAUGAAAAGGCAAAGUUUGAAUUUGGAGGAACCCUCACUGUUAGAUUGCUUCUUGGAGAGCAUCAGCGGUUUAUGAUAACAAAAGUUAAUCCCUAAAACUGCAUGCCUCAUAAAUAUCCGUUUAAACGUAAAUCGAGGAAAAAUACAAUUAAAGAACAAAAAAAAACUUCCUGGGUAUAUAUAUUUCUCCGAAACCCUAAUUCAAGAAAUAGAAAGAAAAGGUAUCGAUAAAGACCCCAACAAGCUACCAGACGGGGCGCACCGUCCAAAAGAGCACACCAAAAACCCUAAGUUUCUCCCUAAGCAGAACAAAGAAGCUAGGUACGUGGCGGAAGCAGCAAGUGUAGAGUGGAGUGUGGAGAGAGAAAGAAGCGCGUACCGGGGAGAAAUCGCCUAGGCUUCUACGACCCUCCAUCCGUGGACGAAAUCUUGUCCUUUGAAGCUCCGGACCCCAAAUCCCACGGCGAUCCGAGGGCUCAUAUCCCGCGGGCCAUGAGCGGCGUCGAAAGGAGCCCCUCCGCGCCCGAAACCCUAGCUUCUUGGGCCCCCGCCAUUAGGGCUUCUCCGAGAAGCGGCUUCUUGAGGGGGAAAUUAGGAUUAGGGGAGCGAGAUCGAAAGGGGAGGGUUGGGGUGGAGAUGGAGAGUGGGGAAGGAGGAGACGAAAAGCCCUUUUCUUUCUCGCACUCCUCUCUCUUUCUUUUUUACACGCUCUUUUUCCCUCUUUGCUCGCCUCGCCUCGCCUCGCCUCGCCUCGCACGCGUUAGUGCUCGGAGCCGACGAAUUAGGAUCGAAACUUGAGGAUUUGAACGGGGGCGGCGGUUCGAAAGGGGGCAUGGGUUUGUCCGAAUAUUACGCUUUUACACACCCCCAAUGUCUUAUCCGCACGUGCCGGGGAAUGACGUCAUCCUUCUUUAUUCGGGCUCCAAGGAAGUUUUGUAUGGACCGUUUGGAUGCGGCCCAUUUGUACCAGUCCUUGGAAUCCAACUACUCAAAAAUAAUAAUAAUAAUAAAUAAAUAAAUAAAUAAAUAAAGACAAAAAAAUAUGUAAAGAGACACCUCAACUAUGGGCCAAUUCUAAAAUUGCAACUCUUUACGCCGCUGUAUUUGGUUCGAAUAUAAAUCGAAACUAUUUAUUUUGAAAAUAGAUAUAAAUUUAUAUAUAAAUAAGAACUAAUUAAUUUUAUGUUUGGAAGGAAAUUAAUUUAUUUCUGAAAAUAAGAUAAAUAGUAUUUGAAUAGUAAGACUGGAAUAAGAGAGAGAAGAAUUAUAAUUUUAAAUUAAAAUUAUUUUAUAAAAUUAAUUAACAUCAAAAUAUUAAUUAAAAAUAAUUUAAUAAAAAUAAAUUUACUAGCUAUGAAUAUUAUAUAAGAUAAUAAAAGUAAAAAAAAAUUAAUUAGAGUAAUACAAAUAUUAAUGGUUGAUAAAUAUAAAUAUUAAUUUAUGGAUAAACAUAUUAAAUUAUUAAUAAUUAAUUAGCUAAUUAAUUUUUUUCAUUAUUUAAGCAAUAGAUAAUAAUUUAAAUUUAUUAAUUAGAUUAAUUAAUAAUAUAAUAUCAUAAUUAAAAUUAAAUUUGGACUUUAAUUAAUCUUAUUCUCAUUUGGGAACAAGCUUGUUUCAGAAAAAAGAUAAAAAUAGCAGUUUCAGGCUUACACCGAGUUAUACCAGUUUAUUCCAUGAACCAGAAAACUACAAUUUUCUUUUUAGAUAUGAAAAUUUAUGUUUGAAAAUAAAAGGGUGGACAAGAGCUUAUUUUUCCUUGUUCCUGAACCAAACAUUGCCUUAAUUAACUUUGUUUUUUCAUCUUAAUUGACACUCCUUAAAAUUCUAUUUUUAAAAAUUUAAGAUUUAUAGAUAAUUACAAUAAAAACAUUUUAUUAAACUUUCUUGCUCAGUUAGCUAUUAUUGGUUAAUUAAUUUAUCUGGUCAGGCACACAUUUGUAUAUCUAAAUGAUCUAAAAUUGUGUCCCAACCAGGACUUUCACGGAGGCCUCGUUUGGUUCGAAUAUAAGCAAGAACUAACUAUUACAGAGAUAUGUACAAGUAUGGGAAUAAGAAAAAUAACGUAUGGAUGAAAAUUGGAUUGUUCUCGGAAAUAAGAAAAAUAGUUGAUAGUUUUAUAGAGAAAAUAAAGAUGUUGGUAGGGAUAGUUAUACCAGCUUAUUUCAGGUAUCCAAAAACUAUUAUUCUUGGAUAAAAAAUUUACGUUUCGGUCCCUUUAUCCCUAAUUCAAACAGUGCCAGAGAGAUUUGGAAUAUGAUGAUGCUUCUGGAUUUUAUCAACAGGAAAGUUAAUUAAUUAAAUUGUAUUUAUUAUAAAGUUUUAAAUUAUUAAAUGUGAUAGAUUUAUCUAUCAAUUUCAUAAAAUUUUUAAUUUAAUUGGCUGAAAUCACAUAAUUUUCAACAAAAUAAAAUAAAAUUUGAGAAAGUCUUUGAGAUCACUAUUUCAAAAAAACAAAAUGUUAUAUAAAUAGAGAGUACAUCGUAUACGUCGUUCAUUCGAACACGGCUAGUAAAAGAUCUUAUCCGUCGAAUUGAUGGAGAUUAAUGAUGUGCGCUCCGGAUUGUACCGUUUCUUGGUUUGGAAUUGCUGGUAGUUGAGGGGUUUCCAUACAUUUCUACCAAAAUGAAAAAUUUGAAAAAGAAAAAUAAAAAAGGUACAGUAAUGUGAUGUGUCUGUCACUGUCGAUUGUACAUUUGUACAGUACAGUCACUUUGAGCCAAACGGAUAUUAAAACUGGGUACGAUCUUGGAUGGCCAGAUGAAAAAGAUCGGUUCAGAUGGACGGCAUCCGAUCCUUCUAGCUUUAUAUGAAAGAUCUGUUACAAGGCUUCAUUUUAAUUGGAUAUAAGUUUUAAGUUAAUCCUAUUCGGAUAUAAAACUUUGAGGUACAAAGCUGGGCACACAUUAAAAGAAGAAAAAAAAAAAGUGAAACAUGUUCUAAAUUCUAAUUGAACAGGACCACAUAGUAUAUAUAUUCUUUUUGUUUUAUAGAAAUACGUAGCAUGUUCCCUACUUCUUUUAUUUCAUUUAGAAAUGAGCUUAAAUAGAAAUGUGAAUCAAGUCGGAUUGGAACUUGAGACUUCGGGUAUCAAGUACUAAAUUCUUUGCCACUUGCGCUAGGGACAGUCGGUCAGUAUAUAUAUUCAUUAAUAGUGGUUUUAUAUAUAAUUUUCUCUGCUCCGAAAUUAAAGUACUUUUGAUGUGAGUUCGCGAGCUAACGUAUUGUCCCACAAUUGAUCUUUUAUUUUAACUUAUUGCAUCAAUUAUUACUAUGUGAAAAAAACUUAGCUGAGUCAAAUUCAGUUUUCUUAAUUAUUACUAUGUGAAAAAAACUUUUAGCUGAGUCAAAUUCAGUUUUCUUCAAUUAAGAAGCUUUUUUGAGAGAGAUAGGUAGCACGCUACCCGUUUCGUUUAUUUUAUUUAGAAAUAAAUUUAGUUGAAAAUGUGAAUCAACUAGGAUUCGAAUUUGGAACCUCGGAUAUCAACCACCAAACCCUUUGUCACUUGCUUUAGAGAUAGUUUAGAUUUGAUUUAAUUUGAUUAAAUAGUAUCUUGGAUCAGUGAAUGAGGUUUGUUGUUGUGAUUGAACUUGAGCUCCGAUAAUUCAAAUGGAGUUGCAACUCCAAAUAUCAUUUUGGCCAAGAACAUGCAAAGACCAGUAAGUGCUUCAUGGCUUCUACAAUCAUCUCUUCGGAGCGUUUGGUAAACAGAAAUCUUUUAGAGUUUACGAUAUGAUGAGGUUAGAAUGAACUAAGACCUGAAUAAACCAGUAUCCGAAGCUUCUUCUGUUGAUUUUGAACUAACUAAAAGCCAGACCUGUGGAUGAAUAGGAAAUCAGUUUUGGCUUAGACACCUCAACUCGGAGCGGAACUCAGGACUUCGUGCCGAUUCAAGUCCUGCCUCUGAGCCCGCAAAGUCGGAGCUCCAACUCCAGUGCAGCUCGCUAGUGCAAUAUCAGAUGGCGGGGUGCAAAGUUGGACUUCAGGCAAUUGCAAUUGUGCAGUACUUGCAGACCAAAAUUACUUCAGCAUAUGGACUCUAAAGAUAGAUACUAAAGUUUUGAAGCAUAAAAUGCAUGUGUAGUUCGUGAACGCUUGAUUUGGCGGAGAGAAAAAAGAAAUUCACUUGGCACUAAGGAAUCGCGAUUUACUUUACAACGACAGCAUUUGUUCUGUGGGUCAGUUACAAAACUUUUGCAAAUUUCAGGACCGUCAGCGGAAAAAAAACAAAAACUCAUACCCACCAUGUCUUCUCCGUCAAGUUCUUUGCGAAGACAUAUCGAAACCUUGUAUUAUAAGGCAACCAUUCAAUGAUCUGCGAGGCCUUUUUUUUGUUCUGUGAAUCUAAGCACUUCUGGAUCGCAUCGUGCAGCUUAUCGUCGACGUUCUCUGAUAUCCAUGUAAGAAGUUGAUCGCAGCUAAGAGAAGCCCCUUUUGCGUACCUAUCAACAAUCUUGGGUAGAUAAACUCUCUUCGAUUUCUUGACGACCACGUUAGCUUGAAGGAAAUCCUUUGUGGCCUUGUCUAACUCAUCUAUCACAUUCUUUUCAGUAUAUAACCUCAGCUGCAUCACAAGGAAGUCGCUGAGAAUUUGGAAUUAGCUUAAAUGCUGUAGUGUUUCUGAAAGAGGUUAAUCAUUUACCAUUGGAUCAGAAGAAGCUCCAGUAGACAAUGCAAAGAAAACAAGAGGUUCGCAAUCAAAGAGACCACACUUUGAUUCGAGAAGCUGCUUUUCCUCGCUACUGCUCUUCCUCAUCGUAGUUGAAAGAAUGCUUUCGAACCACUGCAGAAAUAGUGCUUAAGUUACACAUUAGAGGUUGAGAAACUUAGUUAACUCUUUACAGUAAGAGUUAAAAUGGCGUUAGAUGAGCAAAAUAGCAUCAUUUUUUUUGUCCAAUCUUAGCUUCUGCUUCUCGAGUAGAGAAAAAUUUUAAGAAGCCCAACUAAAUGGACACUAAGAAGAGUCAAAGCCAGAUUCAAACUGAAAUUAGAUGCAAAAUUAACUCGAUUUGUCAGCCUCAAACACAAGCUUGAAUAGUCCUGUGCCAAACAGAAGCCUAAAGUUGCCAAAGUAAGCCUCUUGCUGAAAGGCUCAAAGCCAAGAUUGAGAAUAAAAUUUGUCCCGAGAGUUGGAGAAAUCAAUAUGAAAUCUGCUGUAAGAAGUAGGUUUGAUGGAAAUGAGUUUAGAUCAUACUCGACCAAUUCGCGGAGUGCGGCAGCAUAACAAGGAAUGCUCUAUAGAAUUGACGGUCACGAUGUGCCCUCCAACGUUGUACGCAGCCUGUAGUAUAUAUAAACUUGUUUUCAGAUUCAGCUCUACAAUUAAAGCACAAUCCUGGUAUGUCUAACGCAAGGUUCAGACCUAAUCCCUUUCCUUUUUAUACGCACAAGCAGCAUAUUUCGUCAAUUUAGGAACAUUAUUUAGAUGUAAUUAAAGACGAAGGUUUUCACUACCUUAUGAAACAGCGCCAUCCUUCUCAGAGCACUAUGGGGAAUACCGUACGCUAAAUAUGACUGCAGAUCAAAUAGCAGAUACAAUUACAUAACACAUAAAACAGAUGUAAGCUAAAGGAAUCACUUGAAAAUAUUCGACAAUUACAUGCAUGAUGAGAGCAUUGUAGAUAUUGAUCCAAAAUGCCAAUUUAGCUUCGGUCUCCAACACACUGAGAUCAACUCUCUCAAGCUGCUCGACUAGCAACCUAAAUACAAAAUGGGAGAAAAUAUUAGUCAUUCAUCGUAAAUUCUAACAGUACGUAUUUACUGCAAAAAUAUUAUUAAACCUACCUGUAGCUGCUUAUGGCCUGAGAUGCAUUCGACAAGUGAUUUUUGUCAGCUGAUAUCGAAGAGAUCUCCACCGUACAUUUGUUAGACCAGACAUGUUCGUCGCCGUUGCCUCUUCGAGAGUUCACUACACUGGUAGAUGAUCUAGACAAGAAUGGGGAUCGGGCUUUUUCGGUCUUCUCUGAUGAGUCGCUGCGCAUCCAACAAUAUAUGGAAGCCAUGCAUUGGACCAUCUCUUCUGAUAUUUUGUUCGGGCAUUGGUGGAGAUGAUCUUUUAGAGUACGGGCCAAACAACUUCUUCCAGCAUUAGGCAACUUCUCAUACAAAAGAAAAAGAAACAACACUACCAAAUUUCGUCAAAUUUGCUAUUGUUCGACUAGAAUAUUUAAAACAUUCAUAGGAACUACAAAAAAGAAACAGCAAGUUAUAGAGUCGACCGCUCAUUUUCAAUAUAAAGCACAAUGAUGAGAGUAAAACAAAAUUUAGCUCAAUGGCUUUGUUGACAAACUAAGAUACAUGCACUUCUCAAUUUGUAGUGAAGUAAUAAAAUUACUCUAUUCUUUUCUCAGCAGUGAUAAAGCAAAUGUUGGUUGAUAUGCAAAAAGAAGAUGACAGAAAAAGGUGCUAUUUCAACGUCGAAUUCGCUUCAAGGAUGCCAUUCCUAUAUCAUUUAGGAAAACAAGGAUGUCAAAUGAUCAGAAAAGAAAAUAAAAUUUAAGAAAAAGCCAAGUAGAAAUCUUCGAGAUAUCGUAAAUACAUCAUAAUGUGCAUUCAUGUACCUUCCUUGCAUCUGCAGAAAUGGUUCCAGCACGUAUACUCAAGUUUUCACCGGAUAAAGAUUCAUGCCGUGUCUUGGGCUUAGGCAACACCCUGCACUUUUCGGACUCCUUUUUGGAAGGAAGAAUGUUGAAAGAUUGCAGGGGAAACUUCUUUGACGAGCAAAACGCACUCGAUAUUAUGCUCGGGUGCUUCCUCGAUUUGUUGCUAGUGUGUGCAGGAGAAGCCAUGCCUGAACUCUGCGCUGACGAAGGCCCACUAACACAUUGCUCGAAAAUGCUUCUGUACAGAGAAAGAACGUGUUGCUCGCGAUGUGCUAUCUCUUCUUCAAGUAGCUCGAUCUCCGCUAUGAGUUCCCUUGUCUAACGAAACAAUGAGCAAGAGAGUGGUUAAUCCGCAUAGCUUUUUCAAACUUUUCCUGAACCAGUUUAGUUUCUUGAGUGUAAAUUAUGAUCUACUUAAUGAUGCAUGCAAAAGAAUAUAUACCUGAGCAGAGAAAUGCCUAUGUCCUGGAGAUAAUGUACUAGAAGCUCGGCCGAUCGCCCUCUCAAGCAUGGUACGGAUGGAUCUCUCCUGAUGCAAGUUCACUUGAAGUUGCUUGAUCUAUUAAAAUACGGAGAAUAGUUUUAGAAAAUUCUCGCGCAACUUGAAUGUUGUACAACUAAUUCACAACUACGAAGAACAUUGAUUUCUAGGAAGUUGUAUACGGAAAAGUCUCUUUUCCGUUGUGAUGCUUCCGCUCUAUAGAAAUUUGUGUUCAGAAGCAACCAGAGAAAGUGCUUCAGAAUUUUCACAAUUUAUACGAGAAGAUAUUGCAUCAGUAAUAAGGCAACAACGAAAAGCCUAAAAUUGAAUAGAAGUUUUGAGCCUUACAUCGUUCUCCAAGGAAUUGCGGUGCUUAGGUGAAGCCUUUAUCAAAGCAUCGCUUGAGUCGUGAUAAACAGAACCGUGAGUUCCGCGAGAUUUCUCAACAUUCAUGAAAUCCUGGAAUUAGAAAAAGAUUUUUUUUUUUAAAAAAAAAAAGAAGUUGUGUAAGCUUUUUGAUAGGAUAUUAAUUGAAGAAACUUGUUGAAUGCGCAGUUGAUCAAUUGUCUCACCUGAGAUUGAUUGCAUUCUUUACCUCUGCAGUGCGAAACUCCAUGUUUCAACAGAUCCAAGUUCCUAUCAGAAGCACUGAAAGAGAACAACUGUGAAAUCCACUGUAAUAGACAAGCAGUACAGCAGGGAAAAGAUGCAAUUAUUCGGCUUGAGGAAAUUAAACUAUCUUGCACAUCAUUUUUCAAUGUCAUUUUCUAAUACUGCACUUUAUUGCAAACCAUAGUAAUGUCUAACCUUGCUAAUGCAGUUGAUUCGGCAUGAUUUAAACCUCUAAAAUAGUAGGGAAAAGCGUAACAUCAAAAACCCAAAGAAGCAAAGAAACUAGUGUACAGAAGCUCACCUUUGCGAGCGCCGGUGAUGCGAAGAACAACCAGAUAACAUGUUUACAUCCUUAGAAGCUUCUUCUUCUCUUCCUUUUCCAUCCAUUCCUUCUCCUUACAUAAUUUCCCUUCCUCUUCUCUUUUCCUACCCUCGGAUCUCACCAACUCUCAUCAAAAUCCAUGUACUUAUUCUGCACCAUAAAAAAAAAACAAAAUAUAUAUCGAGAGCAAAGGUAGGCAAAUCGGUAUCCGAUGCUUACCUAUUUCUGUUAGUAUUAACUGGGAGAGUCAGUGUUGCAGGCAAAGAUUCUUGGGCAGCAAACAAUGUUGAGGUUAGACAUUAAAUGAGGAGCUCUUAAAUUAGUUGUUGAGUAAUUAGUUUCCAUAGAAGGCGAGAAUAAAGAAAUAGUAGAUAAUAGCUAAGUUGGUUAGAGCGAAAAGGAGGUAUUGUAGAGAUGCUAGAGGGGCCAGUGGUUGUUGGGAUUUGAAUGAAGGGAGUUAAUGAGAGGGAGGAAGGGCCACAGGAGUGGGGAAUUUGAAUGCAUUGUCCCCGCGAAUGGUCAGGGAUUCUUUACUGCAGAUAUAAUUAAUGACAGAUAAUAAUAAAAAAAUUGAUAGUUGGCACUUGGCAUUCGUUUUUUUUUUCAUUUUUUAAAAUUUUUAUUAAGGUAAAUAUUGAAAAUUAUCUUCCAACCAUAGAAAGAAAAAUGUAAAAAAGAAAUUGCCGUGUCGGUGGAAAUUUAUAGUUGGUUUUGGUGGGGAAAAAAAAAAAAAAAUUUUGAAAUCUGCUUUACGCUUCAAUUUAAACUUUUAAGAGUAUAAGUUUCAUAUUAGUAAGUAAGAGAUCGUGAGUUUGAGUCACGUUAGGCUCCUAAAUUUUUUUUAACUUAAAUCCAUGUUAUGAGUCUUGCAAAAAAUUUUAAGCCCAACUGUGAAAGAAAGUUUUAAAUAUAAAAAUAUAUAAAUAUCGUUCUCUACUAGUUUAAGUUUUUAGAGUAUAAUAAUUAUUUGCAUUUAAGGCAAAAUAACUUGGGAAUUAAUGCUACGUUCUUAUUAUUUUGUAAAUUUGUGAAUUUAAUUCCGAGCAUACUAUUUAUUAAGUUAAAUUCCUCCAUGUUCUAUUCCUCUCAGAAGAACUGUUUAUGGGUGUCGUUUAACUACGUACUAAAGGAUUAACGUGGAGAAAAAUAAUUUUUUUUUUUUUUUUGAGAAAUAGGUGGCGAGCUACAUGCUUUAUUCAUUAAGUAAAAUAAACUGAGCGUAUAGAAAUGAAAGCAACUUGGGCCUCCGAAAAGAGCAAAAAAUAACUGGCAAAGAACUUGGUGGUUGAUAUCCGAGAUCCAAAUUCGAAUCCUAGUUGAUUCACAUUUCUAGCUAAGUUUAUUUCUAAAUAAAAUAAACAAAACGGAUAGUGUGCUAUCUAUUUCUAAAAAAAAAAAAAAAAUCAAAAGGCAAUUAUUAUUAUCUUGGCUUUUGCAUCUGUCGCUCUUGCCAUUGCACCUUUUCAACUACCUAAAGGAGGAUUUUCAUUUGGCAAAAUACCAUUAAAUAUUUUAUUAGAUAAUUUCUUAAGAAGAAAUUUUUUGCUGCGGCCUGGCUGCCUCAAUACCCACCGACCGUGCAAGAACUAACAACCAGUUCCUAUGGGAAGCCAGCGGAGUGCUGGAACAAAGCAAGAAUGGCUACAUCUGGACAAGCGAAAACCAAUUUCGAUCUCCUUUUUGCUGCCGCCUGCUAGGAGCUAUGGAAGGAGCGGAACAAGAGACUUUUUACUAAUCAGCUUUGCAAAAGUCUAAGUCCUGGGAAGAAAUGUUCUUUAUACGGUCAGCCUGUGGAAAUCGACGCUCCGGACGUUACACACGUGACUUGAGUGCUAUUUUCUUCUCUUUCCUUUUGUUUCUAGUUUUGUUUCUCUUAUUGUUCUGUAGGCCGCCGUGCAUUCCCGACGCCGACGGUUUUUUCAUUACUCUCUUAUUUUUAAAAAUACGGUAUACCCCUGUUUAAUAAAAAUUUUUUUUUUUAUUUUUUCUUUUUUGAGAAAUAGAUAGCACGCUACCUGCUUCAUUUAUUUUAUUUAUAAAUAAAUUUAGCUAGAAAUGUGAAUCAACUAGGAUUCGAAUUUGGAUCUCGGAUACCAACCACCAAACUUUUUUUCAUAAUUAAUAACUCAAAAAGAAUGGUUGGACGGCCAUUAUUAUAUUUUAUAUGGAAAUACUAUAGGAAUAAAGAACCACCUUCUUCUUCUUCACCUUUCACUCUUUUUUAUUUUUUAUUUUUGCUCUUACCUUUUUCUUUUUUAGUAUUUUUUGUCUACCACAGUUGUCUCACUUUUCAUCAUCUGAGUUUUUUUUUCCAAAAUAAAUGAAGUAAAUAAUGUGCUAUAUUUCUCUCUAAGAAAAAAAAACUAAGAGCUCCAACUUUCUUAAAAAAGCAAAAUUUCAUGGUUGUGCAUAUGAAAUCACAUGUGCAAGUAUAAAAUUCAAACAAAACUGUGAUCUAUUGUGCAUUACAAAAAUUGCGCAAAAUUCAACACCCAACACUUGUGCUUAAGAAAGCAAUAAUAAUAAUAAAAAAAAUGAUAUAUUGUAAUUGACUCAUUUCAAUAUAUAAAACACAAUAUUAUGUGAAAAAAUAAAUAUAAAAUUAUUUUACUGUGCACCUUUUUAUUGCACAUAAGGCAAUCCUGAGUAUGGGUGAGCCCCAGCCUCAGCAACUUUCUGUAAUUUAGCCUUUUAUAAUGUCCACUUCUCCUAAAAUUCGCACGAACUGUAAAGACGUGCUUGGUAAUUUUGUUCUCAGGUCAAGCGAAUUCACGGCUUCAUGGAACUCGAUAUCAUGCUGGGAGAGCGCAAAGUUGAGUUUCUCAUUCAUCCACAUAAGUAGGGGAUAUCCUGAGCAACUUUUUGUGUGGAUCCCAUUUAGAAAUAUUUGGUUUUCAAAAAUCAGUCAUCUAACCAAACAUCAGAGAUUUUUACCUCCUCAAUCUAGCCACUUACCUCUCCCAGUUAAUCAUAAACAAGCACGCCCUAACUCAAACAACGCAUGGAUAUAUUUGACUCAAGGGCCGAAGCUGUACAGAGCCGUGUGGUCCAUAUCGAGGUUCGAGAUAGUUUACUGUAUCAUACUUGCACCACUAUCAUCAAGUAACAAGUCAAUCAUAUUUCUUUAUGUGAGAGAAAAGUAUAACAAAAAUAUUUUUCUAUUAAUCAUAAUGAGACAUAUCAAUUCAAAGAGGAUAAUUUUAUUGAUUGGGAACGUCACGUCAGCAAUAUAUCUGGUGCAUUUUGAAUUUUGUUCCGGUCUUAGGAAUAUGAGUUUAGAUUGUCUUGGGCCAGGUCGUGUUGGGCCAUGUUAAGGCCGCGAAUGACAAUGCUGGCUAGUUGGGCCAAUUGAAUAGGCCCAAUAAUCUACUCAACAAAUGAGAGCUCUUGGUAGAAUUUGGUGCGACUCAAUUCUACUGAUUUGAGGCUUUCUCAUGGAAUAUAAAAUAGAGUUAGGCUGGAAUACUAUCAAUAGUACCAAGCAUUUUGUACUAUUAUGUUUUCGGUCCUUGGAUUAAAAAAUGUACGGUUAGGAUGAUCUGGAUCUUCUGGGGUUGAGUGAGUUGUUGGUUUAAUAGUAUAAUCUAACGGGUGAAAAUAGUCAAAGGGUUAAAUUUAAUGGCGGAAAACUUGAUAGCACCAAAUGCAUGGUGCUAUUGAUAGUAUCCCAGCCGGACUCAUAUAAAAUAUUAAAAUACUAUCCUUUGGUGGUUAAAAUUGCUAAAAUAGUUGGCUAAUAUUGGAGUUCUAGCUGGUCGCAAUCAAUCCACCAUUUUAAUUCACACGGUUAGAUGCUUAACAAGCUGUAAUUGGAUGAGUGGCUGUAGACAAACCACAGACAAUAACUGGCUUGCAAUUAUUCUUUAAUUCUUUAUUUGGCAUUGUUAAGGGACACAUUUAUACUUAUAUCUAUUCUAUAUAUUAUUCUCUCUAAAUUUGCCACAUAGCAAUACUUCCUUCAUUAUUGGAUGCGGGCCCCCACUCCGAACUAGCUCAAGAUUUUCACAUAUUUUUCCUUUUUUUGCUUGAAUCGAAACGGAUUUUCUUUUUUUGAUUGAAUCGAAUCAAUUAUUAUUGAGUGUGGGCUCUCCUUGAACUGGUUCAAGUUCUCCACAUAUUUUUCUUUUUCUUUUUUGAACCAAUUCAGAUUUUUUUUUUUUUUGCUUGAAUUAAACUAGGUCUCAUCUCUGCAUUUUGUUUAACUGUUCCUUCUUUUUCUUCGGCUAUUAUCUUCUUUAUUGGCAAGAUGAAUCCCAUCUUUUAUUAUUGUUUCUUCCAUCGCUAUUUUUCUUUUCUUCGUUGUCGUUUUUAUUUUGUUCUCCAAUCAUCUAUUCGUCGCAUCGUACGGAUUACUUCACUAGUAACUCUUUAUUCAGUUAUGCAAGGCAAAGGGUAACCAUACAUACAUAGAGAAUCAUUUAAUAGCUUACAUGACAAAGGGAAUGACAAAGGACACAAAACUGUACCUAAUCUCUUGUUAUUAUAAUGAAUUAGGACAAUGCACCUUACCUAAUGCCAAAAACUCAUAUCACCAACAUUUCCAUUUUGUUAUUCAUCUAAGUUUCAAAAAUAUACGAGAUGAUGAGAAUCACCUAUCGUGAUUAGCAUGCAUACUUGAUAACACAUUUGGGAACAAAUUUGAAGACAUGAACAUGGUUAAUUAGCAUGUGAUGUACAUUACAUGAACGCUCUUCAAUUGUAGCAUUGGUGAAGAAAAGAUUAGUGUAAAACCAUAAUUAUUCGGGGCAUUUAAAGCUCCAAACUAUUCUCAGUUGCUAUAAAGUCCUGGUUUUUUUAACUUCAAAAAAAAUUUAGAGCAAUUUUUAUUACUCACAUGCCUUUCCAUUACUCUAUGUUUCUUAUCUGCGACUUAAAUCGUCACGGUUAACUCCUAAUUGGUGGAUAAACUUAUAAAUGUUACUUUCCUCUGUUUCAUUAAACAUGAUUUCCCCCAUAUAAAAAUGACCUUUCUAUAGGAAGUCGACUAUCUUCAAGUUGCCAUUACUAGACUUAAUGGUCAUUACAUCCUAAACUAUUUACUUAAAUUAGUGGUAUUACAUAAACCUAUGAAGGAGUAUGUAUUGGCUUGUACCACAAAAAGACCCUAUACAUGUUCAAACACCUCGUGACCUCGGAAAAGGUAGCAUGCUACCCGCUUCAUUCAAUGGAUAAGUGAACUUAAUUAGCUACAUGUGCAAGGUAACUCAGGCCUCGAAAUGGGCGGAAAAAAAAAAGAAAAAAGAAUAAGAAGAAAAAAAUCGUUAGCUGAUUUAUCGUGCUAGUGACCAGAAAGAAAUUCCACCCAUUGAUGCGUUAACUGCUUAAUCCUACGAAUUCCAAGGAAAGGAUCAGGUCUGAUCGUUCUGAAAAUCACAUUAUUUCUAAUCUCCCAAGUGACCCACCAGCAUGCAAUUAAUCCUAAUGGCCCAGGAGAGAGCGAGCUUUUUCUGCACAUCCAUGUGUUCCAAACUGAAGUCACGUUAUGACCUAAAUCCCUUGGCUGAAUAUUCUCCAAAGCCAAAACCAAAAGGAAUCUGAAAAACACACACCGAAUAAAUAAAUGAUCCACAGUUUCUUCUGCCGUCCCACAUAGUACACAAUUCGUGUUACAAGUCUAUCCUCUCUUAAGGAGAUUAUCUACAGUGAGGAGUCCUUUUUUGAGGACGAACCAGCAAAAUACUUUCACUUUUAAAGAAAUACGGAGUUGGUACUAACAUAGUCAUUUUGGCCCGAGACAUUAAUUCCCGUUACAUAUAUCAACACCUCAAAACAAGGGGAUAAUGUGAUAGACUAGUAUGAUAUCAAGCGCUACUAAUUAAUAGUGUCCCGCGUAAUAGUUCUCAGGACUCGGUGAUUGUAUUUGCCACAUCAACUAAUUAAUCAUCACCUCAUGUGCUUACAAUAAUAAUAAUAAUAAUAAUAAUAAUAAAAAGGAGUACCUCGUGACUAUUGGCCAUUUUAAUAUGCCCCUCCUCAAACUGAAUUAUUUCUUUUUAAAAAAAAUUUAGAUACUUUUUAAUUAAAAAUAAAUUCGUAAUUGUAGUCAAAUGUUCGAAUUUUAUUAAAUUCAUUGAUGAAUCCAUCAAACCUAAUAACUUCAAUUUCUUUUAAAAACAAUAUAAAAUACUGAAAAAUAACAGCUAAUUAAAUUAUUAAAUUUAACAAUUUUUUUUAACAUAACUAUUAAAUUAGCUCAAUUUAAAAGGGAAAAAAAUAGACCGUGAAAAUGCAUCAAUAAAAAAAAAAUUCACCGUACACAAUAAAAAUAAAAAAUUAAAGGGAAGAAAUAUUAUCCGGUUGUCCUGUGGUGUUUCCACACCAGAUUCUCCUGUAUAAACAAAUUAAUAGAGUGGUGUAAUAGCUGGGCUUGUAGUCAUUAUUCUCAUCUAAUCAAAUUUAGGGGGCGGUUGGUCGGCCACCCAAUCAUUAUAUUAACAAGUAAUUAGCAAAUAAUUAAACUUCAUAUGAUCGUUCUUCGCCGUCCACAUUAUUCUAACAUGCCAUUCCGUCACCAGGCCUAAACUUAUGGCCCGUGGGUGGUGCAUUUGUAUAUAAAGAGCACGAGAUCAUUUGGUUUUCGCCGUAAGAAGAGAAAAGAGAGUAGAGAGUAGAGGAGGAGCUAGAGGAGAGCAUUAGAUCAUUCAAUUAAAUUAAUCAUGGUUAAGCUCGCAAUCGGAAGCAUUGGUGACUCGUUGAGCGUCGGAUCGUUCAAGGCCUACUUGGCCGAGUUCAUUGCGACGCUGCUCUUUGUUUUCGCCGGUGUCGGCUCCGCCAUUGCUUAUGGUGAGUCUCGUAUGUAAAGAAUAUCUAAUACAGGAGUUAAAGUAAUUAGUUUAUCGAGAGGUAAAAUUCUCUCACUAACAAGGAGAAUAAUAUCAUUGUCGUUUUAAUGCCAAGUGGUUAGUGAUAUCAGUGUGUCUAAAAGUAACUGCGCUAAAUACAUAUAGGGCAUGUUUGUUUCAACGUAAGUAGAUUUGAAGUGGAGGUGGAUUUUGGGUUGAAGUAGAGUUUAGGUGAAAAUUAAUUCACUUCCGCUGUUUGUUUCUAACUGCGGAAUUGCAGUUCUGUGAGUUCUGUUGUUUGUUUGGUAGGAAGUAGAUGACGUAAAAAGUAUAGCUCUCUACCCUUGGUAUACUUACCUCCGAAGUGAUAUUAUUAUCUAUUUUGUAACUUAGUGAAUAAUAAAUUAUAAUAAAUAAAAAUUAAUAUAAUUAUAUAUGUAUAUAAUUAUAUAUAUGUAUAAUUAUAAAAUAAAAUUUUAUAAUUUAUAUUAUUUGUUUGCAUAUAAAUUAUAAUAAUGUAACAAAUAAAAUUCUAAAGUUAAAAAAUUAUUAACAUUUAACAAAUUCAUUUUUUAUUAUUUUCUAAAUAUACAAAUUAGACAAAAAAAUAUAUUAAAACUUAUCUAACCAAAUUUGAUCACAUUACCUAAUCAAAUUUAACAAGUUUCUUUGCCUCUUUGUACUUCACCGGAAUUGACUUUGCCUCGUGAGAGAGCGUAGUCAAUUACUCUAUUUUGGAUGAACUCGACUUUCAGCCGUAAUAAAAUUACGGCAAAACAAACAACGAAAGUGAUAGUUUACGGCGUAAACAACUUUCCCCUUCUCCACUUUUUCCUCACUUUCACCCAAACAAACACACCCAUAUUGUUGCUACAUACACGUACAUACGUCCCAUGCAUGUUCCUGUAUAAAGUGUAAUUUUAUCCUUACUCUUUCGAUCAAGCAAUAAAUUGUUUUAUUUUCUUUUUAUUUUUUAAAUUAUAAUUGCGAGAUAUAUAACGUGCUAAGCGUUUUAUUUAUUUUUUCAAAAAAAUUAGUUAAAAAUAUAAAACAACUAAAUUUUGGAACUUAAAAUCUCGAAUACCAAUAAUCAAAUAUUUUACAACUUGUGUUAGAGAUAGUGAGUUAGCAGAUAAUUAAUUUUAUGAUAAGCAGUAAAUAAAACUUAAAAUUAAUUUUGGCUGCUUAAUUAAUUUGCAGGGAAGUUAACGGCCGGUGCGGCACUGGACCCGGCCGGGCUGGUGGCGGUGGCGGUCGCGCAUGCGUUGGCCCUCUUUGUCGGGGUCUCCAUAGCCGCCAACAUCUCCGGCGGCCACCUCAACCCCGCCGUCACCUUCGGCCUCGCUGUCGGCGGCCACAUCACCAUCCUCUCCGGCAUCUUCUACUGGGUGGCCCAGCUGCUCGGCGCCUCCGUUGCCUGCCUCCUCCUCAAGUUCGUCACCGGCGGAUCGGUACAAAAUUUUUAAACCAUUAGAUAUGACGUACAACACUUAAAAAUAGGUAAAAUUAUAAUUUUUUGGUACGUAAACUAUUCGAGAUUAAAAGUCACAUCAUCCAUCUAGCACGUAGAGAGAUAGGUAAGUGUUGAAAAAUGAUAUAUACUUGUAUAUCUCAAAAAAAUGUACAUUUUAUAUCCCACUUAUUCGGUACGUAGAGUAUUACUCAUUAGUCACUCGAUGCGUCUAGUAAAAGCAUUCAUACUUAUUAGAUGAAUAAAAUGUAUAUCAUAUAUAUUUUUAAUGGUGUAUGUAUAGUAUUGUUCAUAAAUUUUGGUUGGGAUGAAUUAUUUCGGUUCCUAUUACAGGCCGUGCCGACCCACAGUGUGGCGGCCGGGAUGAGCGAGUUGGCGGGAGUGGUGAUGGAGAUCGUUAUCACCUUUGCACUUGUGUACACCGUCUACGCGACGGCGGCGGACCCGAAGAAGGGUUCGCUAGGCACCAUCGCCCCGAUCGCGAUCGGAUUCAUCGUCGGUGCGAACAUCCUCGCGGCUGGACCGUUCAGCGGCGGCUCCAUGAACCCGGCACGUUCCUUCGGUCCCGCGGUGGCCGCCGGAGACUUCUCCGGCAAUUGGGUCUACUGGGUCGGGCCGCUCAUCGGUGGUGGGCUCGCGGGCCUCAUCUACGGUGACGUUUUUAUUGGAUCGUAUCAGCCCGUUGGGGCCCAGGAUUAUCCAUAGAGGAAGCAUUUACAAUGUUGAACAGCUGCUGCUUUACUCCUUAAUUUCCUCUAUCCCCCCCUCUCUCUGUUUGCUAUGCUUUUACUUAUAAUAAAUGUGCAUAUUGUAUGUAUGUUUUGUAAAAAUAUGUAUUUUUCACUGCGAUUGAAUGAAUGGUUGUGCUUCCUUAGCGUUCAAUGGCUACAUAAUCAGCGUAACUCUUCUUCUUAUUUCGCUUUCUUCGAAGUAGAUCAUCAGUUGCGCAGUUCAGAGGAUAAUUUACUGAUUCAAAAUGACCGAGCGGGUUCAAGAAUUGAUAUCUUGGAUCAAGCCCGAGACUCAAGUUCGAAUCCUAAUUGAUUUACAUUUUCAGCUAAAUUUAUUUCUAAAUAAAAUAAACGAAGUAGAUAGCGUGUUAUCUAUCUCUAAAAAAAAAAGAUAUCUUGGAUGAGGCCAAAACAACAAGAGAAACGAAAAAAAGAAAAAAUAGAUCAUAGAAUUCACAAUAUCUGUCAUUAAAAGUUUCUAAUAAAUUUUCAUAAUAAUGAUUGAAUAAAAAGCUUCAAAUUAGAGUUGACCAUCCAAUCUUUUAAAAUUUUGAUUUUUCCGACCAACGUUUUAAUUUGUUUAAUUUGGAUUAGCCAACGGUGCUUUGACUUAAAAUUUGAAUAUAUUAUUUUUCUUUAUAGAUUUAAUUAAUAUAAUUCAUACAAUUCUCACAACUUAAAAUUUAUUAAAAUAAAUGAUUAGUUUAAAUUUUGAAGUAAAAGUAUCGUCAAUUAUCUUAAAUCGAACAAACUAAAAGUUUAGAUAGUAAAAUAAUUUUUUUAAAAAUAAAUUAGAUAUACGACUUAAAAUGGUCUAUAAUUUAGCUAAAUUUUGUAUGUUUUUACUCAAAAAAAAAGAAGAGAAAAGACACCGGUAAAAAUAGGGAUGCAAAUAGUGCCGAUUUGGAAGCGGGAGGGGUUCCCAACCUCCCGCUCCGUUUCUUGUCGGAUUGGGCGGAUUUAGGGCAAAUUAUUUUUACUUUUAUUUUAUUUUAUUUUUGGCUCCUACUAACUGUUCCAUUUAGAACGAAUUGAUGCAAGAGUGGAUUUUUAGAAGAUUUUUGGUAGAUCGGAAUGAUUCAAAUAAAAAAAGGAAUUAUUUUUCGUCUCCCACUCUAUUUACUUGGCUAAUCAAAAUGAAUUCGAGAUGAUUAUAUUUUUUUAUUUUUUUAAUUCUCAGUUACUUACUGUUCUAUUCAGAACGGAUGAGGACAGAAACUCCACAAACGAGGAUCUAUUUCCAUCCUUAGGUGUAAAGUUACAUAUAAUUUUCUAAGUGAGGCUGGCCCAGCCUAGAUAACCAAAAUACGGGCCGAGCUAAGGUUUAUGAGAAAGGCCGAAAUCGACGGUCCAGCCCAAAAGCGCUCUUCCGUUUAAGAAAACGAUUUUUUACAAAAUUACCACCGGUCCGGUCCAGAAACAACAACAACAGCGGAGGUUCGGAAAAUUAGGGAGAGAAGCUCCAAAUCACCACGUCGCCGACGCGGUGACGCGAUCUCAUUCUAAUCCCUUCUCUCGCCUCGUCCACUUCGUCUUCGUCGCUCUCAACGGUAAUCGCACCGCUUCCCCGCUCUCAGAUCUGGCAAACCCUAGCCGUUCCUAGGGUUAGGGGUUUCUCGGGCGAUCUAAUAGGGUUUCUCCGGUGUUGUUUGGGGGGGUUGGUUGCAGUGGGAGGAGGUCGCCGAUGGAGGUGGAGCCUCCGGGGCCGGUGCGGUACUUGGUCGGAGCCGCGAUCAUGAUGAUCGGGGUGGUGAUCCCCCUCGGCUACAUGAUGUUUCGGAGCAAGCGCGCCCCCUCCUCAUCGUCCUCGUCCUUCUCCAAACAGACGUAGUUGUGCUUGAUAUUGAUCCGAACCCUAGCUAUCUGUUUUUCUUUUUUUAAUAGCAUUUUUGGAUCAUAUAUUCUGAUGCAAUGGCGAUGGAUGUUUUGUUGUCGACAGGAAUAAGGGAUUGAUUUAGGAUGAUAGUGGCUAUUUCGAUUAGAUCGGGAGGUUGCAAAGCUGGUUGAGAGAGGAGGAGGAGGAGGAGGGAUACUUGGCAUUUCGCGAACUCGGGGUGAUGUAUUCUUUUGAUCUAGUUGCUAUAUAAUGUUCGAUUUGAAAUAAUUUACUGGUAUAGUUUUUCGUUAUUUUUUAGCAACUCUUGACUUUUAUGAUUGUUGUUAUAUUAUCUGAAUCUUUUUAUGGGUAUGUUUCGAAAAUUUUCAAAUGAUGAAAGUUUUAUUCUGUUUUAUCCAGUAGUACCUUAGCCCACGAAUGGUUUGUAUGUUAUUGGCCAAAUUAGUGAAUAGAUAAAUUAGAAUGCCUUGUAUGAAGCAUUGCCUACUCUAAUGGUCACCAGUACGAAAGAGAUGUUUAAAUGAAACUUAUAAUUGGUUUAAUGCAGAUUUUUCUACUAAAACUGAUCCUAAUUUAAGAAAUAGCAAUGAAACGAAUCGCAAAUUUUCUCAAAAAGUGGACCUCACAAACAUUUGUUAGAUGGAGCAGAUUUAUUGUAAUGUAUAUCAAAAGGUGAAUCUUAUUAACAUCUGUUAUAUGGAGCAGGUAGGAACUUUUUAGAGUGUUUUUUGCUCAUUGACGUUGAGCUGUGAGGAACCUAAGUUCCCUGCUAACUUUCGGUGGAUCAUUCUUAAGCACCAUAUUUUAGGGUUUGAAAACAUAUGUUUUAUUCAACAUCCAUUUUGUUAUCUGUUCUCACUACUUGUUGAGUGGAAAUAACAUUCUCGGUGUAGUUUGAUUGUUCGAAUUACUAUGGGUAUUAUUGAAUUCUCGGCUCGGAUAUAAUCUAUGUAUACUUUUACAGGAGAUUGGCUUUAUGUCCAUCGUUCAUUUAGUAAGAUGAAAUCGUUUCUUUUAAGUACUCAUUGUGUAAAUUAUGGUUAGCCACUUUAGGAUGUACUUCAGGAAGUCAGCUUGAGGAAUUUUUACUUGUUAUGGUAUGCAAUGAAAUUAGGGCAUCCUGAACAAAAUGAUGGUUUUAGCAACUCAAAAAUUUGUUUAGCAGCAUUAGUCAGCAGAUGUUCGGAAUUUGGACACAAUUUAUCCUUUGGUUUAGAAGAUUUUGUAAUAAUGUUGGUUUUGCAUGAUAAGGGAUGAUAUAGUACACUUGGAACAUAAUUGAGCAAUCAAGAUUAGUCUUAUUUUUAGUUACUAUCUUAGUGGUUAUUGUCUAAAGCUAGGUUGGUCUAAUAGUUAUAAGUUUGGUAAUAUAUUUAUGGAAAAACUUCAAAUACCACCUUUGUGGUUUCGCACUUUUUUAUUUUAGUACCUAGUGGUUUAAAAUGUAUCAAUUUAAUGUCCCGUAGUUUCAUUUUUCUCUUUUUAUUAUCCGCUUCUCUGAUUUUUUUUUAUUAAAUCAGUGACAAAGUUAAAACUAAGAGAUACUAAAGUGAAUGUUGGAUAAAUCUAGGUAGGGUAUUUGAAAUUUUUUGUAUAUAAUUUAACAAAAUGUUAACGGAGGAGCAGACGAAAAGAGAAAAAUGAAACCACAUGGUACUAUAUUGAUACACUUUAAACCACGGGGUACUAAAGUGAGAAAGUGUGAAACCACAUGGAUGGUAUUUGAAGUUUACCCUAUAUUUAUCUAGCGGGCCAUUUGUUCAAGGUUCAUAAUAUUCUGGUAAUAUUGUAUAUUUAUAUUGGGAAUGAUAAAUUUGUUGCUAAACUUUUCGAGCCACUUGGAUUGGGAGGUUGUUAAGAACUAAUAUAUUCUUGUUAAUGGACUACUAAUGAUUUUCAUUAAGUAUGAAAAUGAGAAUACCUCCUAAUCUAUGAUAGUCUAGUAUCCUACCACCUAGAAAUUUUUAAUGUUUUUAUUAUUUUACUAAGACCUUUUGCAAUUACCCAACUUGAGUUGAAUGAUAAUAAUUUUCAUAUUUUCAAUAGAAAAUAUGAAGGAUUCAGGGAAUUUUAUAAACUGUGAACCAAAUGGGCCCGGAAAACUAUGGUAUCCAUGAAUUCCAGUUAUUUUAGCUGGUCAGUUUGCAAACAGCACUUCAAUUCAUCACUCUGUUGCCUCUCAAAAAAAUGUGCUGUUUGUUACAUUUCUGCAAAAUUAGGCAUGUGUGACCUUUGUAACUUGUUGACAAUCACCCGUGCCAGGUUCUACCAGUAAGUAUCUGGAUUGCUGGUUGAAACAUGUUCUUUUGCCUCAGGAGGUUAAAAUUAUUUUUGUCCAACAUGCUACUCGUCUUCCUUCGCAAAGUUGCGUGGAUGACAUGUUUUAAUUUCUUGAGAACUGAGGCCUUUGAGUAAGAUAUAUUUCCGGAACUCUUAUGAAAUAUCUUUUACUACUGGAGAGGACCGUGGUACAUGGUGAUGGGUUAUGGACCUAUUGUAUGAUACAUCAUGGAUCUUUGAUACCCCUGCUUUAUAGGGGGGAAAUUUGUUCCAUGCACUGUUCACAGUGAGGCUCACCCCGGACUCCGGGGAAAGUAAUGUAAAUUGUUUAUAAAUGGGCUCCGCCUCAGCAAACUGGAAUGUUUUCAGAAUCUAGAGUUGGAGAACUUUUCCUUAAAUUGCUUUUAUCGUGUUGCCACUUCCUAAUUUUUCUCCUUUAUUUCUUUAUAGCUUUACACCGCACGUCAUAAUCCUGAUCUGAGAAAUAUGGUAUCAGACUCAGGUUAGAUCUGUAGAGAGACUGAAACAUUGAUUCAUAUGUUAUUCGUAUGGUUUGAUAAAUAAUCACUUGUGCUGCGCUCUGACCCUGAUAAAAUGGGUCAGAUUUGGAUUGGCUUGAUUAGGUCAGCCCUUAAAACCAGAACCCAACUCUUUCAUAGAGUAGAGAAAUUUGUGUAAACCCUCUCGGGCUCGAUGGGUGUGUUUUUGAGCAUAAAUUUUAUGUAGUUUGACGGAAUGAUAUUUCCUCCAUUAGCUUGCGACGCAUGGCAUAAAGUUUUCUAUUGAAAAAAAAGAGUCAAGAUUAUAUUUUUUGUCAACUAUAGCUCAAGAACUGUUAUCUGCCAACAUGUUCUAGCUCAUAAAUAUAUUUAAGAAGAUGAAUACGGCCUUAUAGCCCCUCACAUGCGUUUGUAAAAAAACAAUACUAAAACAUUUAUUCACUCCCAGGUUCAUGCAGACCAGCAUAAAUAAGAUGAAAAGAGCAAACAUACGCAAAUUGUACCCAAAAAUAGUAUUGGCCAUUUGGAUUAACACCAGCUGAUUAAUCAAAUCUGCUGAACCAAAUAAAUAUCUGGGAAUCAGAGUGACGCGUGAACAUGGAAAGGACUCUUGGCAGAGUCAAGUAACCAUCACUGAUAUUACUUUUAUUUCGGGAAAAAAAGAAUAGGCAACCGAAUAAGUAAAAGAUACAUCAAGUUUUUUGUGGUGUUCUGGGAGUUUUAAAAUACGGGUUCCCUCAAAGACAAAGAUUCAUACCAACUUUGUAACCCUUCGGCGCAUAUCUCGUUCAACAACCUACCAACUGAACUGGACCAAUCCAGUAGUUGGCUGCAUUCAAUGCCUUAGUAGAUCUCAGUCCAGCGCAGGCCAACCAACUAUCACCUGCAGCUAAAUCAGGACAAAAUUUUUGAAUAAGACUAGCUAGCUAACCAUGAGGCUCAUUAAGCAUAGGUGAGAAUCCCAUACUUGAUCAUUCAGAAAAAAAAAGCAUCUAAUUCACACGCUUCAAUCAACUAAUUUUGCUGUCCUAUCUCACUCCAUCUUUCCCUCGGAUCAUCCUUUUAAUGCAUAGAAACACAUGCUUUCUCAAACAUAUACUUGGAAUGUAUUAAAGUGCAGAGGGCAUAGUUCGAUAAUCUUUCCAUCUGUUGGGGACGAAAAUAAAAAAAAUAAGAACAACAUUUUGCUCUCCCUGCAAAAGCUACUUCUAACCAUAAUUAUUUCGCACUCCAUCAGCUCAUAAUCAUAUUUUUAGACCAUGAUAACCUAUCGAUAGAAUGCUUGCCUGUCUCAUCGGGAUCAUAAAGCAUAUAAUCUUCGCCACGUCCCUAACAUCUUUCUAACUCCCAUAACCCUACAUUACUAGUUUCAGUUCUAACUCCCAUAACCCUACAUUACUAGUUUCAGUUCUAACUCCCAUAACCCUACAUCACUAGCUUCAGUUCUUUUUCAAACCAUAGACUAUUCUUACUCAAACACAAAACAAUGCUCAAACAACUAAUCCAUGUUCCAGCCACAUCACCAGGUGCCUCUGAUGGAAUCAGAGAAAGGUAUCUUCUGAACAAAAACAUAUUUACAUACUAAAUAGUCUAACAGUCAACUUGUUAACCUUAUAAUAGAGCAGGCAUCCAAAAUUUAUGUAACACACAAAAAAAAAUGCUUCACUACUACAAAUUAUAACAAAAGCGUCUUAUUAAACUAACAUAAUUAGCUUUAAAAAGCUAGGGCAGUAUUAUCAAGUCAACUAAACUGUUGGUAUUUUUCUCCUUCUGUUUCAGAAGUCACAAACUCAUAUGAUCAGUGCAAAAUGUCACACAAGCUGCCAAAUAGAAGCUUACCGAAUAAGAGAACUAUAUAGUUAAACAAGUACAAAAUACAAGGCACUGUAUACUUAAACGGAAUGAAUACAGUUAGAAGGAAAAAGUCGGUCCACACAGAAAGAUGGCUCGUAAAAAAAAAAAAAAUUACAGACAUGCUGAAUAUAAAUGACAAGCUUAUCUAAACAAUAGACGUUCCCAAAAAGAAUUCUACACAACUUUUAACAAAUACAGGAUUAAAAUAAAAGCCUCACCAGCAACUGUGAAGAAGAUGGACUUACAAUGUCUCUCUUAACAGGAUCUGCAUGAGCUAAUCGAAAUCUAUGUUUGAUAAUUGCCCAUAAGGCCGACUACAAAAGAGCAGUAUUCUUAUUGUUUCACCUUUCACACAAUCAGCAAGGUCCCAGACAAAAUAUAGGAUGAUAGUCUUAAGCUAAAGACGCUAAAGAAAUAUGACAUAUGAUGAGAUAGUUACCUUUCGCCACUUAUCUUGUCUGUGCAGCAAAACAAAGAAGACCUGAUGCAUCUGCCCCCACCACUGCAAGCUCACAUACACUACAAAGCUGCCCUGCAAUGGAUGGCACAAACCGAGAAGCACAGUAAGGGCAGGAAACAUCCUUCUGGCCACGGUAUAUAGGAACAAAGGUAGCCCCACAAACAACAAACGGAUUCCUAUAAUCAUAAUUCAACUGAUUAGCAUCCUUCCUAUCACCGCAAGCCUGAAGCACCUGUCUAGCCUUCUUCGCUUGGGCCUCAUUUGGGCUACCUUCCAGAAGCAUCCUGGCAAAAUGAGCCGCAGUGGCAUAGUUUCCUCCCUUGAAGCAGAUGGUCAUGGCACUUGUGAGCACUAGUCUCAUGUGGAUCUUCUGAAGCUUACUGUUAGCAAAAUAAGCUGCCAACUCUUGCUGCCGAACUAGAUCAUCUUUAAGCUCCUUCCUUUUCACUUCCAUUUUCAAGCCAAGCACGUACUCUCUUGCUAUCUCGAUUAGCUCCUUCACUUCAUCAACUUCCCUUCUGGAAUCCACCACAAUGAGUGGAAUAAUAUGCAAUAUGUUAAGAAACAGCCGUAAAGCCUCUGGGAACUUCCCCUCAGUCGUGGCCCGGUAAGCUGCCUUCAGCUUCUCGUCCAUCUGCGAGAACUUGAAGACCAGCGCUGGCGGGUUUCUCACGUUAGGGCUAGCGGACUCGCUCCAUCCCUUCUCUACUGCGAUGGAUAUAACUGAAGCCAUUGCAAAAGCUCGCAGAUACGUGUGACUGCCCAUGUGGAGAUCCAUAAACAAGGGCUUCAACGGGGCAAAGUUUUUGAUGCCCAACUGCCGGUUGAGUAGGCGCAUAGCUGUGUCAAAGUUGCCAGAUGCAGCAUGCUCCCCAGCAAGGGAGGAUUUAUUGAUCCAGAUUUGGCUCACUGGCAUGCCCGGCGAAGGAGCAACAAAUAAAGAACGAACAUUACUUGAAGCCUUCGGCGUGUCUAUUUCAGGUGGUAACUCCAGAUCUUCGAGGUCCCACCCUCCUUCCUCCUCAUUCUCUUCAUUUUGCUCAGCCUCGUCAUCUUCUGCUGUUAUGUCACCAUUCUGAAUCACACGUUCAACAUCGACAAUAUCCAGUUCCUCCUCACCCCAGUCAGCACCAGCACCUUCUUCUUCCUCCUCUUCCUCUGCUCUCCCUAUAACAUCAAGUCCGCCUUCAAAAACGCCCCGCAUCACCCUUAAUAAUGGCCAAUCCCCACUGCUUGUCAAAGGCGCAGGGGGCAUCAGAAGAGAACGGGCUUUCCCUUCAGGAAGAGAGGGGACUUUAUCUCCCAAUUCAGCCGCAAGCCUCUCACUGAUUUCCGUCAGUCCAUGAGUGGCAGCCGUGACAUAUGCAAGAGGCAAGUGGCCAGCAUUCUCCAAGAUCUUGACACGUUCCCUAAUGUCACCUAGAUACAUGGCAUUAUGGAAUUGGCCCAUUAUGUCGUUCUUAAUCUCAGCUAUCCUUAGCAUUUUGGACAGCUUUUCUAUGUUUCCUGUCACAAGAUAGAGAAAAGACAGCCUUUCAAAGUUCUUCGUCCUCUGGUAUGCAUAUUCCACGAUGCUGGUGUUCCCCUGACGAAGGGCCUCGAUGCCCAACCUAUACCAGUGGUCUUUCUCAUCUAUCUCCUUUGCAGAAGCAACAGCAAUCUGGAUAUUACCACUUUCUAAAGCCAGAUUAAAUCGGGUCCGUUCAUCUUUCACGAAAUGGAGAGCAACUUCGGGAAAUCCUUUCUGUUGCAGAUAAGAUAUUACAGCCUGUCCGCAUAACUGUGAGUUCUUGAUCAUACUCAUUACGUGAUCAUAUCUUUUCCGGAAAAGUGCAAGCUUGAAAAUGUACUCAGAAGCAUCAAUUGAUAUGACCCUGUUCUUCCCUUCCCGAUCCAAGCAAUAGAUAUUGCUCCCAGAAACCUUGGUUAUGUAAACAGGAACAUCAAGAGUUUUUAUAAUCCCACUGUCCCCAUUAGGAAGGCAGUACUUGAUAUGGUUCAAGGUUGUAUAAAUGAAGACGCCAUUCUCAUCCCAAGCACCACUUUUCACACGGAUAGUCUCGUGCAGCGUGCAACGAUGGACAAGCUUCUUAUUAGCAAUAACUAUAGCAUGUUUGCUUAGAAGAGCAACAGAUUCCAUGUCACUAGACCAAACUAUAUACUUAACAGAAGGUGUUUGAAGUUCACCAAGAACAAUUCGCUGCUGAAGAUCAAAUAUAACCACCCUAUCCUCAGCUUUGCACAACAAGUUCCCUGUCCCAGCAUAAAAUAUUGCAUCAGUAGCAACAGGAAGAGUACCUUUCUUCACAAUCUCAUUCUUAAGGUUCUUCACUAGAGCUUGAUUGCUGCUCUUAUCAAGGACUGCAAACCUAUUGCGGGCUACGAAAACAGCUGAACCCCCAGCUCCCUUCUUUGCAUCCUGCAUAUAAUCACUCCUUCCUACAGACUCUUUAGGAAUGAUAUAAAGUUCAUAUGAUCCACCAUCAACAUCAGAGCAGAUCAACACAGCAUUCUCCGUAGGGCUAUAGGACAGUGUCCUGGGUCCUUGAUUUAAGCUCAUAGACCCCGGCCUUCGUAUCGAAACCACCUGGUUAUCCUUUUGGGAUGAGAACUCAUAGAACCGCAAGAACCGGUCUUUCACAUAGUACAUCGUAUCCCCACUUACAGAAAAAGAAGGGCGUUCUCUUUCCAACUUGAAGACGAUCAUGCCACUAUCAUGGCCAGCUGCUAGAAGGUUCAUCUCUGGGUGGGCGGCAAGGAUCCAGAAGCGAUCAUGCUCCCGCCGAAAAGUCUGGAUUCCCGUGCGCUUUGUAGCAUCCCAUAUGCGAAUGCUUUUAUCCUCAGAGUUGGAAACGAUAAUAUCUUGCUUUGCAUGGAACAUUACACAAGAUACAUUAUUCAUGUGCCCCCUCAAGGUAUCCACUUCCCAAGCCUUCGUAUCUGUUGAAUGAAGAGACACGUUAGUGUUUAAACAUCCAGCAUCAUGAAAAAAUAGAUUCCAAAACUUCAUUCAUCUAAUUCAUCAAUAAGGGAGAAACAAGAGAUAGAAUGCACGAGAUUUAUCCAUCAUGCUAUAAAAGAAAGCUGAAUGGAGAUUACACCAUAGAGCCAAUCAGUAACAUAUUGAUAGCAAUGUCACUUUUUAAUUUUUUUUUAAAAAACCCCUUAGAAUGGGAAUCUUGAGAUUACCAUUCAUCCGCCAUAUCUUCACUUGGCGAUCGUCUGCCCCGGAAACAAUAAGCGGCAAGCUAGGAUGAAACGAUGCCCAGUUGACUCCACGAUCAUGGCCCUCUAGAACGUACUUGACAACGGCAUCGACUCCCCCAAACAGAUCUGUGUUCAUCUGGCUCAGUCGCAACAUGUCAUCGGCCGGGGACACAGUCUUCUUUCUUAGUGCUCCAAUAUCCCAGACACGGACCGUCUGAUCAAGAGACGCUGAUACAACUAAAUCCUCCUUUGGAUGGAAAGAGGCACACAUGACAUAGUGGUUGUGCCCAGUCAGCACUGAGAUACAGGUACGUGAUUGCCAGUUCCAGAUCCUGAUAGUCUGAUCAUCACUGGCACUAACGAUCCAUGGGUAUUCGUCAUGGAAUUGAACGGUACGGAUAUAAUCGAGGUGCCCAAGAAGGGUAAAUAGGCACCGGUGUGUCUUAUAAUUCCAAACCUUAAUCUUGUAAUCAUCUCCUGUAAAUAUAACACCAUCAUUAUGAAGAACAAAAGGAAAAAGAAAAAAAAACAAAAGAUAUUGAAGAUAAAAUUUCAUGCAUUGAAAUUCAUACUUCUGACCACAGUUAAAUUGAAACAUAUUGCCAGAUCAAAUCCAAAUGAAACAUUAGUUUAAAAUCGUAGAAACCAAUAUCAGAUCCGAAUAGUAGCAACUAUAUAGAAGGACAAACUUAGAAACACUUACAUCUAACUUAUAGAAACAUCAGACAACUUAGAUCCACACAUCCUAACCAACCAAACGUACUAAAAAUCACUUAAAUCCCCUCAGAUCUAGUAACAUAUGUACGAUAAACGAGAUUGCGAAAAAACUAUUAAAUGGAUCAGAUGCAAGAAUCUAAUGGCAAAACGAGGUUAGAGCGUAUUCACCUCCGGAGACGAAGAGGGGCUGCGACUUGUGAAAGUGGACGCCACGAACGGGACCAUCGUGCUCGUCGAAGCGAUCGAUGAGUGUGCCCAUCCGAUAGUCCCAUAGCUGGAUCACGCCACUGUGGAGACUCGUAAGGAUCCAUGGGCGUUUGCUGUGGAAGCUGAGGCCCUUCACCCGAUUGCUCUUCGUCUCGAAUUUGGUCAGCAUCUCUGCUUCUUCCUCCUCGAUUCGUCACUCUCGAUCCACCGUAUACCUUCAAAACCCUAGCGACGAGAAGAAGCUCACGAGAUCGAAACCGAUGGUGGAGGAAUCGGCGGCAUUAGGUUUAGGGUUAGGGUUAGGGCCCGUGUAGGAGCUCGGAUCUGGGAGGGAGGUAGGAGGGGAAAUGAGGGGAAAGAGUGCUCACCUCGGAUCUUAGAUCUCGAAUUUGUAAAGAGAAGAGGGCAACGGAUCUCAGCCGUCGAUUCGUGGACGGGGAGAGAUCUCCGGCAUAGAAGAGAGGGGUCGCCCAAAGAGGUAUUGUGAUCGACAACCACAGCGAGAUCUCUCCGUUACACUGGCUCACACCUUGGCCCCUCUAUCUCUCUCUCUCUCUCUCUCUCUCUCUCUCUCUCUCUCUCCUCGUCUUAAUACAUUCGAGUUGGUUUUUCCCAUUUCCUUUCCUCGUUUUACCUUUUAAUUGAUGGUUUUUUUUUUCUUUUUUUUUUCUUUUUUUUUUUGCAUUUUAGUCCAUAGAUCUUUUAUUUCCUGAAAAGUGCCUCCAAUCUUUAUUUAUAAAGUCCCUAGAACAAGGGAUGGAAGUGGAUUCGGGUUGAUAGAACUCCGCCCCGAAUGGAACCAUUAGUAGAGACCAAAAUAAGAAUAGAGAUAACAUAUUGUGAAUCCAUCCUGAUAUAAAAAUAAAAAUAAAAUUAAUAUUCAUCCUAAUAUAUUAAGAAAAUAGAGUGGAAGACCGAAGAUUUUUUUUUUAAUUUAUAAAAAUUUAUCAUAAAAAUCAGCUCUAUUCUGAUCUAUUUUGAAUAAAAUAAUUAAGUGGAAACAAAAGGUGUGAUAGAAUCAAUUCUUUUCGGCGCCCUCAUCCGCCAAGAAAAUGAAUUGUUUUGUUUUUUGAAAACUAUUUUUUAAAUAGUUUAUUCGUUGAAAAAUAUUUUUCAACUAUUGGGUUUAUGGAAUAAGUAGUUUUCUCAAAAUAUUUUUUCUAGACUAGAAUUUAUAGAAAAAAAUAAUGUUUAUAUUUUCUCAUUUUUUAUCUCAAAAACAAAAAUUAUAAAAAACAUUUUUUAUAAAAUAAUUUUUUUAAAAAAAAUAUUUUUUCAUAUUUUUAUGAAGUGCGGGUUAACCUUAACCAAAAUAGGGUAUAGGUUCGGAUCCGUAUCCUUCGAGAGUAUAGUUGGAUGAUAAAAUUGAUGUGGCCUCUGAUCCGAAAUGUCGGUGCGAGCACAUGGGAUUGAGUAACACAACACAUAAGAAAUGACUCGCUAGUGAAAUAGGAGAAAUGCUAGGGUUGUUUUGUAAAAUUGGAAUGGCCUAACCCUUUGAACAUUAAAUAGAAUUUUGAUCACAGGUCAACUAAAAGUUACUAGGUGAGCUUAGUAAAGAAAAAAUAAAGAAUGUUUCGUAAAAAAAUUACGCAGGCGCCUCUAUUUUUUUUCUUUUUUUUCGGUGCCUUCAACUAUUAUUUUGUUUAUUUAAAUAAAUAAUUAUAAUCAAAUUAUUCAAAAUUUUACAAAAUUUAAUAAUAUUAAUUUAAUGAUUCUUAUAACAUUUGAACAAAUAAAACUGUAACAAUUAACACCUAAUAAUUAAUUGAGCAAUCAAAUUUACAAAAAUACUUACACCAGAAAUCUAAAAUAACUCUAACAAGCAAUUUAGAUUUUCCACUGCAAGGAAAUCUCGGCUCAACUCCUCACUUCAAUUGCGAGCUGCGGAAGGUGAGAAAGACCAGAAUUUUUGGCAAUUUUUGAUGUAACAAAACAAGGAUUCAAUGGCUCAAACCAAAAAGACCUAUUCUCAAAAGUAACACCAAUUAAACAAGUUUAAGUGAGAUUGCUGUAAUAUCAAUUUUCUUCCCAUAGAUUAUGCUGUGUAACCAGCUAACCGCUUCUAUCGACCGAUCGCCUCUCGCACCUUAACUUUAUCACCACUUUUAACGCAGAAUCGAAAGUCUGAAGAGAGACCAUCUGCCAGUGAUUCAGAAACUGGCGCUUGAAAGACAAGAACGACGGUGGAUCCCAUCUUGAACGCCGCCACCUGAAGCAACGGUUCAAUGCAAGUUAGUUGAAAUGAAAAUUACAUAGGGAAAGGACUCGAGGAGUUAGGUUAGAGAAGUAAAUUUAACCCCUUCUCCCUUCUUAAUAAGUAUAAUAUUAUUUGCCCCAGAUGAGAGAGAGCAAGCAUACAUCGCUAGAGGAAUCAAUAGCUACAGGGAAGUGAUAUUUAUUUGGAAGCGCAUGCGAGCUAUUGCUUCGACAGCUAUUACAAGAAAUGUUUCUAGCUAUUUGUUCUAUACAAGUAUGGUCAUUAAAACUGCUCGUCGCUUUAACUAUUCACAUAUAAAGAGUGGAAUGAGAAUACGUAACGAAGUUGGAUUGAUCCAACAAUGGUAGCACCAAUCGCUGAUAGUGUUUACAAAGCCUUCUCACUGGCCUUUAAGAACCACCUAGUGAAACAAUUCAAUAAUAAAUAAAUCAGGUAUAUAGGAACUCGUCAGUAGAAAAAACAACAUCGAAAUAAUGAUAAGCGAGGAAAAAGAAAAGAAAAUAUAAGCAUUGAACAAGCCAAGCAGAUGAGAACACUGGUUUUCCAUCAUCAAUUGCAUAACUGAUAUGUUUAUUACUGUUGCCUCACUACGAAAAUUUCUAUCAUCUCAUCUAGAGAAAUAAAAUCAUGAAUAUCGCCACAGAGGCUAAGACCCGAGAAUGUAUAAAACUUGGAAAACAAGAACAUAGUUCAGGAAGACCAGGUUGAAAUACAAACUAAAGCACACUGUGUGCUUAAAAGUUCGAUAGGAGUGUAGCUGCUUACUUAAGAAAAAAAAUUUCAUUCUACAAGAAUCAUAUGCAAAGGAUGAUACCAUCUUUCGACGAUGUAACAAUAAGAUUCAUAAGAUAUUGUUUUCAUGUGGGGAUAAUGAGAAUUACCCCUCCAUUUUCAACAUACAAAUUUCUGAUGUGCGUACAGCAUGCUAAUUCUGAGGGACAAGAUAACCUACAGAAAUAUUAGUGUGGUUAUUAAACAUCAAAAAAAAGGUACAAUAUGCAUGUAAAGGAUUGAUAUAUAGAAAAAAAAAAGAGAAAGUUAUACAUGAUAAUUUCCCAAAAGAAGAAAAAGAAAGAUCCCAAGCAACAUACAAACAACAACAGCAACAACGAAAAUGUGUCCCAAUUAAUGAACAAAAUUCAUAUGAAUACUUGUCAUUCAUUCAGUUAUAUCUUUAGUUAUAUGUUCUGUGAAUAAAGGUCCAUUACAUAGUUUUCUUCUGUAACCAAGUUGCUUUUGAUCUUACAUUCCAGUUUAGAGCUUCUUAUAUUAACUAGAAUCACUUCUUAUGAGUACACACACCCUAUGAACUCUGCUUACUCGUUCAAACUAUCUAAGCAAAUCUUCUUUUUGUAGCUAGCUUAAGAUAUGAGUGCUGUUAAGUGAGGUUGAAUUCAAUUUCGCAUUCAAAUGGGUCAUAUGGUUGCAAACAACUGGCAAACAACUGGCAAGGCAUUCUUCUCCUGCAGGCCCAGUUAAUUUUUAAAAGGCAUUUAAGAACAUUUAAAUUACAAAAAAUAUGCGUCCUUUCAAUGUUGUGGAAUAUAUUUUCCUAGUAAUGAAUGCAGCUUACCUUAUGGGGAAAAAGGGAAAAAGUGCCUAAGACCUAAUAAUUCAACCCGUAAGUACUGACUUGCACUGCCAGAUAGGUAGUAUCCAAUCUCCACAUAAUCGUUAUAUAACUUGCAUAAAGAACUUUCUCAGUUUUCAGAUUUAAAAUGAUUCCAAGGCAUCUCUUAUUUCUCCAUCAAAAUAUUCCCAUGUUUCUCUAAUAGUGCAUAAAGAUACAUCGGCUUGUAGACAAACUUUGGAUUCAGUACAAAGAGAUUGAAUUGAACGUUUCACACCAGAAACAGUUAGGAUUCCUGUUUCUUUUUUCUUCCGGAGGCUCUUAAAUCUAGUUUGGCAGAUCACACUAUAUAUUUGAUUGAAGUCAGACUUGCAAAAAAGCAUAAGAGCUGGCCUACGUGCCUUUCUCACUUACCUAAUGGAAAGCAUGUUGACGAUAAUUAGGUAGACAAAGUAUUUGACCACAAAGUGUAACAUAAGAAAUUCAAAAUACCUGAAAAAUGUCAACGUUUUAAGACGUGCCAAUCAACAGGGGAGUGCACUAAAUGGUAAUCACCUGGCUUUAGGUAUACAACACAACAAUAAAAGACACCUCUCUUCGUGCUGCCAAAGAGAAUUCAGAUGAAGCUUGAAUAAUAUCAAGUACCAAAAGCAAGUCUUAUUAACCAACUAUAUCAAUCAACAGAUCACAAGUUUGAAAAACUUAAUUAUCUUAAAGGCAUAUAGAAACAAUGGAUCUGUAUCAACUAGCUUUCCUUCUGCUGAUUAUUUUCUCAUACAUUAGACAAAUUACUGCCCUUGCCCUCUCACUAUGAAUAAGCUUUCUACAUCAGCCAUUAUUGAUCAUAGAAAAGGUCAACUUAUCAAGCUUCCCGAUGGAUGUUUAGCUAAAUCAGAUAAGCCACCUUAGAAUGACAAAGAAUGGAAAAUAAGAUUUUAGGAACUACCUCAUUGGUACUGGGUUAUGCAAUUUAGGUGAAGCUAAUGAUACUCUCUAGUCUCUACCAUGGUUUUGUGCCUGAAUUUUCAGGCACAACUGUUUUAUCCAACUGUUUUCAUCAACUGACUUGUGAAGCGACGAAUUUGCAUGAAGAAGUAAAGAAGCAAAAUAUGAAAAGUGUGACACCUCCAGGAUUUGCAAUAGUCCUAUAUAAGGUACAAUAGGACUAAAACCUCUAACUCAACUAUAGCAUUUUGGGUGGUGGACCCCCAAGAGGUUAAGAAGAUUGAUCGUGCUAAGGCUAAGAGUAGUUCUAGGAUGGAUAGCCCCCUUGGAAAAUAGGGUGUUACAGUUGGAAUCAGAGCCAAUCACAAGCCGGAACUUUGAGAUGAAUCUCGGUUGAACUAGGAUAUGAAUGACAGGCUAAGCCAAAGUCUGAAAAUGACAAGUUGAUCCAAGGUCUGAAUGAAAAGGCCAGCGAGACAAGUCUCACACCACCUGGUGAUUGUGAGUGUGCUCAAGCUUGACGAGGAUGUUACGGCUUAAAGAGGGGAGAAAUGUGAUAUCCCAAGAUUUGGAAUAAUUCUACAUAAAAUAUAAGAGAACUAAACCUUUUAACUCGGCUAUAACAUAUUGGGCCGCGUUGGCUAGGCCUAAAAAUUUUGGAGUUAAUUGAGCCCAGAGCUAUAGUAGUUCUAGAAUGGAAACCCCCCUCAGAAGCAGGGUGUCACAAAAGCCUUUGACUUGUUCUACCAUAGCACCAAGACCUCUAAGUUUCACAGCACGCAAAAUUUUACCAUCCACAGGGCUGACCUAAUCAUCCAAUUGAUAAAAUGUAUCCUCAGACAACCAUCAUCAUUAGGUAGUAAAAGUACUACCGAAUCAAACAAUUAGUUACCAGUAACCAGACAAUUUGGGUCCGGAUCAAUAGGUAGGUCUUGAUCCUUCUUUAAGGGUUCGAAUAAAGAACUCGUGUAAAGAAAGCAUAAUUUUCUAGUGGUAAAGCAGCUUCCACCAAAUCUAUAGCCAAAUGACCAGAUCUCUGAUUAAGGUUGAGGAUGACAACCAAAAAAAAAUUGAAACAAAUUAUUAAGAAAUUAUAGAUUCUAUCUGAAUUUCAAUUAGAUUAGGUAGUGGUUCGUGAUAGGACUGUUUAGGAGCAAGAGGACUUUGUCAAGGGACGGUAGAUGGAGAAGUAAUAAGGAAGUGCUGGAAAAGCAAGAACAUUCGAGUGUAUCUUUGAAUUAACCAUCACUUUGUUAAUUCUUCAUCUAUUGUAACUAUUAUUUGCUAUUAGUCGCUUCAUUUUUCAAGUUCUAUCUUCUCUAGAUACAAGACAUGUACACAAAAUUAACUACAAUUAAGCACAUGCACCUAUAAAGCGCAUCUCCUCUAGUGACCAGCUUUUGAACAUUUGCAAAUACUAAUUGACGACAUGCAAUGUCCAAAUGCAAGGAGCGAAACCAUGAAUACAAAGACCGUACCAAUUAAUACAGGCAGUUAGAAGUAAAGCAGUGAGGAAGAAAAGGAACAUACCUGAAUGAAGUGCCCUGGCCCAUGCUUUGCAGACUAAAGGCCAUAACAUAACUGGGACGUAAUAUAAGAAAUGUAAGAGAAUAUAUAUAGGGAAAACAAAUAUAAAGACUUCUUUCAUAGAACAACUUUUACAAAUGUGAAAACAGAAAAAAGAGCAUAAAAAUUAAUUGGCAAAAAAGAUAUUUGAGGGGAAUUUGCAAUGAAGAAAGGAGUUAGGGCAAAUUAGUAAAUAUUUAUCAUUGAAAAUCAUGUUAUCUAAUCAAGAUGUAGAGGCAAUAUAAAAUCUCACACAAAUAAAGGGAUAACAUCUAUCAACAAACUGAUCAGCUACAAAGAGAAGAGAACCUAAAUUUAGUUUGCUUCGUAAAUCAAAGGUUAAUCAAUACAACCAAAACACCAUGGAUAUUGAGCAAAUUGUGAUGCUUCCAACCAAAACUAUUAAUCGUCGAGUACUUGCCAGCUCUUUAGGCAGUUUCGAGGGGAUAGCGAUAGAUAUCCCACCACCCCGCAAAACAGAUUAGUUUCAACUAUCCCCUCUUGGAACUUGGUGGGUAAACAUCUCCAUGCCAGGUUUAUACCUGGGGAUAGCAAUUCCAUGGAGUAUAACAGAAAUGUGCCUUCCACGUGAUUAGGAACUUUUCCCAACUAGUUCCUACUGAUCCCAGUGAAAAAUAGCAAAGAUGACACAAAGAAAUAAAAUUCUAAAGUGCAAAGAAUAAAGUAAUAUGUAAUAUUUCAGAAGAAACGAGGGGAAACUUAAUCUUAUGCUUUAAGAAUAUUUAGCUUCAUUACAUCAAUCAGCAGAAAAUGACAUGGUUUACUAAAGUACUACCUAAUGCCUGGUAAGAACACAGGUUACGCAUAUCCUCGACCUAUCAAAAAUGCAAAGUGAGGGUAAAGCAUAAGUUGUCACGCUCCGGAUCACAGGCAGCGGAAGCCUAUUCCAGAUGUGUACACAGACCAGCCACAUGUAUAAAGAUGCGCCCGUACACACGAAGCAUCAACAUCCAACCAAUUCCAUAUACAAUACCAUAUAAUAGAUAAAAUACAAGUUGAUGGGUAUCAAGAACAUAAACAUCAAUAACUACUAGAUUAGAAAUAAUUUACAUCCAAACAUCACUUCCAAAAUGGGUACAUCUCAACACAUCAACUAUUAAGUUUAACACAUGUUCUAGAACCAUAUUUCAUAAAUUGUUAUCUCGACAUAACUCCCUAAGAUACAAAAGGGUCAAUCUCUAUUUAGUCCAAAAAGCGUAAAAGUGCUUUAACUAUCACGUGAUGCUCUUACCACGAUCCUGAGCCUCCUUCGUAGCUGAAGGCUCUGAAAUAGAAAAACAACAAAGAGUACGGUGUGAGAACUAUAAAGAUAGUUUUCAGUAGAUGCCACCACCGAGAAGGAUGCACUGCACCACUAGGUCAACUGAACACGAGUAAUAAUAAUAACUAAAAUAAAAGUAACUGCAGUAAAGGGAACAUAACAAGAGUAAUGAUACUAUGCCUCUAUGAAGUAUGAACAAGAUAUGAAAGGUAUUAUGUCUCGAUUAACAACUACGUAUCAAGUUUAUGAUGUUCAAAUAUCUUUAAUUUAUCCAAUCUCUCAAGAACCCACACGUGGUAUACUCCUAGCUUGCGUCGUGCCUCAUGAACUGUCUUAGGCACCCCACAUACGGAGCCGUGCCUCCCACACGGCGCCCAACUCCGUUUUUGCAGAUUUUGCACUCCAAACUCCGUUUUUGCGACGUUUUUGCACCAAAACCAGUCCAACACACCUCAAAUACCAUCAUAAUUGUCUAAAAAGUAUCAAUUACUAUUUUUCACUGGAACUUUGCUAAUUUGCGAAAGUCCAGUGCACUUCACAUUACAACCAUGUCUUUCAUUAUUCUCUACCCUAAACUCCACCAAUUCAGUUCUACGAGCUCAAAUUCCAGCAAGCAUCGAUUGAACAUUCCAAACACAAUUCUCAAUCGACUAUUCACCAAUUAAACCAUAAUCUGGUGCUCAUCUAUUGAAUUCAUCUUUCUCAUGAUCCAAACUUCUUCCCACGAGUACUAACUACUAACUCAUCUUUUACUCUCCGAAAUCCUUCCAACUAGCACCACAUUCUAUAUCCAAUUCAACAUCUGAUCACUAUAAAUUCUGUAUGCUAUAUACGUAUUGAAAGUAAUAUAACAAGGUUGAUGGAGAUGCAGAUUGUAUUCAUAAUAUGAGGAUUUUUUUUUCUCCAAGCAACUAUCACAAAUGCCUCUAUUCCAUCCCUUAAAUUCACAAGAAAUGCAAUCAGCAUUUCUGCUCAAAUUCUAACAUUACUUUGUUUCAUAAGGUUCUUAUCCAUAGCCAAUAUAUUUAUCCUUAUGCUAGAGCCUUAAUUGCGCCUAUGCAACAAUUUACAUAUAUGAUUUGCGUUAGUGUAUAAUUGUCCGCUAACAGGCAUACACUCUGUAUCCUGCCAGUAUAUUUAUAAUUUUAUAUCAUGGAAAGCAUCAUUCCAGGGAAAAAUGUGACAUGCAUAAAGACUUCAUCAUACCAGAAAGUCUUUAUUCGAUAAUUGCACCCGAAAAAAGAAAGAACACAUGCCUUCUUGUCAUUAUAGAGGCGCCGAGCAUGGAGAAUCCCAAGCAUAAGGAUAGUAGCCAUUGUCGCGCCAGGAACAAGAAGAAAGUUACCUGCCAACAUAAUAUAUCAAACAAUUGUCAAGAAAAACUACGACUACACAAUCUAAAAAGUAAAAAUAAUUAACACAAAUUACAAACAACACUACAUUGUAAGGUAUAUCGCCUGAAUAAUCCUCCAUCAAAAUAACAAACCCAGAGAUAUACACAAAGCCCACAAAGGAAAAACCCAAUUCUAAUAAUACAUCAUAACCAGCCCAGUUUGGAUGUCAGAAUAAGCUACCCAGCGAUAACUUUUUCAGCAAGAGAAUUCUCUUUUGUGAUUGUAAACUAGGAGUUUGGUUUUUUCCCUUUGAAAGAUUUUGAUAUUUAUGAUUUGGUCGGAUAAUUUCACCUAUAUAAUUUAUUCUAUUAUGAGAAAAUAACGGUGAAUAUGAAUUGUCAUUCUAAAUAUUUGAUCACACUCCUCGUCUAUCAAAUGACUUAUUUGACUAUAUCAAAAAGAUAUACUGAAUAAAAUGUCGGUGCAUGCAAACAGAACGGAUGAUCGAAAGGGCGAGGAAGCGAAAAGGAAGUUACCCUGGGCGCCGCCACCGCUGCCGGAGUUUCCGGAAGAAGGAGUCGCGUGGAGGGCGCGGGAAGAAGUGGCGGGGCGGCGGAGGAGCGCGGCGGCGGCGGCGUGGGGAUGGGAGAUGUGGUGGGGUCGGAAUACGUGGAGAGGCAGAGCAGGCCAUGUCGAAGAGGCUCUAAACCUCAUUUUUGGCUAUACUGGCGAGAGUUGAAGUCGCGCUACUCGGAGCCCGGGGAAGGGGGAAUGGUUCGGAGGGCCGGAGGAGUGGAGACCGACAAGUCCUCCUUUCCGUCGGAGGAAGAAAUGUGAUUUCGGGGCGCUGGGGCAAUUCUGCAGUUGCUUGAGGAUAGGACUGCUGCCUUUUCUUUCAAACAAGAGUUUCACACUUUUUUUUACUUUAAUAUUGUAUAGUUUAAAAUGUAUUACUUUCAUAACAUAUGAUUUUUUUUUUUAUCUUCUUCAUUAAUCUUUUUGUUAAAUAAAUAAUAAAAUUAAAAUUAAAAGAUACUGAAGUGAAUAUUUGAUAAAUUAUAAAUGGAGUAUCCGAAGUUUUUUUGUAUAUGAUUUAAUAAAAAGUUAACGGAGGACUGAUAAAAAAAGAAAAAUAAAAUUAUAGGGUACUAAAUUGAUACACUUUAAACCACAUAAAAUACUAUCAAUAGUAUUCCUGUCAAACUCUAUUAAAUUAUAUAUAAUGAGGUGAAAAUAUAAAUAAAUGACUGAUACCAGCAAUUUAAAUUAAAAAUUUAGAUUUAAAUUUAGAUUUAAAAUUUAAAAGUAUAUUUCAAAAUUUAAAUUAAAUUUAAAUCUGAGUUGAAUUUAUAAUUAAAAAAUUUAAUACAUAAAUUAAAUUUAGGGCUCCUUUUCCCAAUCGCGUCACGUGCGAUCACGAUGGAAUAUGGACCACCAGUAGGGGUGUAAUGUGGGCACGGCCCACAUUUUCCGGGCCGAACCGGGCUGGAGAGUGGGCCAGACCGGCCCGUGGCUAAUCCGGGCCGGGCCGUGCCGGGCCCGAACUCCCUACCAUCCGGUCCAGCACGGCCCCUGGGCCCGGAAGGCACGGGCUAUGCCGGGCCGGGCCGUUCUCCGGGCCGGCUCCUUUUUUUAUUUUUUAAAAAAUGUACAUAUAAUUUAAAAAAAAUAUAAACAAUAAAUUAUAUUUAUAUAAACUGAUAUUUUGAUUAAAAAAUUUAAAAUUUAUAAAAAUAAUUACAAAAAAUAAAUAUUUAAAUUUAUUUAAUAUAUUUUUGNGAAGAGAUCUUCUGGAGAGAAGAGUUUGAGAUCAGACCCCAGACCCAAGGCCACUUACCCCAGACCUAAGGCCACUUGCCUUGGGUCUGGGGUUCCGGACCGUGCCGUGCCGGACUGUCGGGCUCUAAAUAUCAGGCCCAGUACGGCCCGAUACAGUAGCCGUGCCGGGCCACGGCCCGGCCCGCAGCCGUGCCGGGCCGGGCGGCCCACGUGCCGCCCGGCCCGUUUUACACCCCUAACCACCACCGACCGUCAAUUUCCUGCCUCACGUGUGCCAAGAGAUAGCCCGCGCUUGGCCUACUCUAUAAAUAAGGGAAUACCACUUGGGCGCAGGCGCUCACUAUUGCGCAACCUCUCUCCUUGGAGCGAGAGGAUCUUCUCCUAUCAAUUCAGGGAGAACGACGACGCCAUGGGAGAUCCACUGACCUUCGCUUCCAUGCCUCUCUCUCUCUCUCGCACACACACAUUUAACAACGAUGUUUCGAUCUCUCCCUUUUCUGUUUUCGAUCAUUUGAUCGCCAAGAAUCGCUCGUAAUGGCUCGUUUUGGUCCGUUCUAGGGUUUCUUUGACGCACAUUGUCUCUCCGACUCUCUUUCCGAAGAGUUGCAGGCGUUGGUGCUCUCAUUCGACAACGAGACAACGAUGCUUUGUUCUCUUCCAAAUAUGUUUUCCCCGAUUUGAUCGCCGGAAAUCUCUGGUAAUGGUUCCUUUGGUUCCGAUCUAAGGUUUCUAUAAUGCGCAUCGUUUCUCUGACUGUAUUCUUUAUCGAUUUGCAUGCAUUGGAGAAUGUUUGGGUCUCCCUCUUCGACAACGAUGUUUCGCUCUCUUAUGUCUCUGUUAUCGGUGAACUAAUCCCCAAGAAUCCCUGGUAAUAAUUCGUUUUGGUCCGAUCUAGUUUUCUUUUAUGCGCAUUAUCUUUCUGAAUCUCUUUCGUCCAGUUGAAUGCGUUAUAAGGAGUUUUUGGUCUUUCGCCAUCCAAAUAUACAAUGUUUCACUCGCUUCCAUCUCUAUAUCAAUGAUUUGAUCACUAAGAAUCCAUUCAGUAUGCGGUGGAACGAGUGUAUGGUUUCCGAUCUAGGGUUCCUUUGAUGCAUCGUUGUCUCUCUGACUCUAUUCUUUACCGAGUUGCUUGCAUUGGAACCAGCUUUUGGAUAUUCUGUUAUAAUUUGUUGUUGAAGAUGAGAUUCUUAAUUUUCGUGGUUAGAUUUUGUUUAAUGUGCGGAUUGAUGUGCUUAUUCUGAAAAUAAACAAAUAAAACAAGAUUUCUUACAUCUGUUUCAUAGUCUUAAUCUUUGGUUCUCUACUAUAUCAAGUAUUUGAACGCAAGAACUUGCAAUGGAUGCCACUGUUAGUUGUUCUAGGGUUAAAAUGUAGUAGAUCAUUUCCUAGGCUCUCUGUUUCAACUAAGCGACAUCGAAAAUUUUAUCCUAUGUGUUGAUCAUCCAUCUCUUCACAUUUUCUUGUUUAUUCUAUGUUAUCUAUUAAUGUUGCAGAAAUCAAGAUCUAACUGCUGGUUCCUUCGAUGGUAAUGCCCUUGUCUGUUUAUAUGGAUAUACUGAUUGACUUUUGCAUCUGAGAAUAGAAUUUCUGUUUUGUGCAUUUCCAUGGUAAUUUCUGUGUUCUGGGCCCUUAAGGUUGGGACAAACAAAUCUUACAGUUGUUCUAAUAACAAUUUCAUUUGCGAAUGAGUCUGCAGUUUCAUGAGACUUGAUUUAUAGUGAAUUGGGAGAAGGUAAGAUUUCUGUUUCGUUAUUCACUUCCCGACAACCCCAGCCUUGUAUCAUUUACUCCAUAUUCCAGUGUCCAUGAAUCGGAUAAUAGAAAAGGAUGUUUACCAAUACAAUGUAUAUAUAUAUAUAUAUAUAUAUAUAUAUAUAUAUAUAUAUAUAANAUAUAUAUAUAAAGAUCCAGGUGUCCCUAAGGUGAGCGAAUCUAAAACGCUAAUAAACUCGUCGAAGAUUCUUUUGUUACGCUCUAACCAAAGAACCCACCAUGUUGUGGCGAUUGUCGCUAACUCCUUUCCUCCGAGCGCUCCCCCUUUUUUUCUACUCGACUCCUAGAGCAAACUAGCAGAAGUACAAUUACAAAGGGCUGACUUACUUGGAAGAUAACCCUCUAGAAGCACUCUGGUGCCAUCACAUCGCAUGAAGAGGUGAUCAAUGGUCUCGUCCUCAUUCAAACAGAAAACACAAGUCAAACAUAAGUCUCCUCGCCACACCACCCACGUUUCCACAGGUUGUCUACAGUGAGCACCUUUCUUCUCAGAACUAACUCGCGUGCUUUAGAUCUUGUGAUUCAAACUUCUUCCCUAACUUCUGAAACUUAUUUUGCACCGACUACUUCAUUAAUAUAGUUUUUUCCUGAACGUAAUCAAGAUAUACUUCUUUGCAUUGUUUGAAACUCAAUGAACUUGAAACUCAACAAAUUAGGAAUUGAAGAAAGCUUUGUUAAUUUAAGGCAAAGAUUUUUGUAUGUUUCUGCAUCUGUUAGCUUGAAGAUAAUCUCUUAAGUGAAGAAUUAAGACAUCUAUGAUGAACAUUGAAAAGUAAAGUACUUAAAUUCACAUUUUAUUAUUAUUUUCAUGAUUAUAAUCAACAUUUUACUUGUAAUGGCAGCUAUUUAUAAGUGUCACAUUAUCACUGGACUAAAUUGUAUAUGAGAAAUAACUUUUACUAAAUUAAGCUUCUCAUCUCUACACUUGUCCAGAUUUUCAGUGUAGAGCUUUCCGUGGCUUUCUAAUUAAUCAUUAUAAAAUUUAUUCUCCCAUACUUAUAAGGUUCUGUAAUAUAAACAUUAUGACAAACCAUAAGUUGAUCUGUGUUGUUGCCUAUUAAAUUGUAGAAUUUGACUUACUAUGUCCUUCAAUUACAAUCCUGCCUUUUCAAUGUGAAAAGGGUUUGGUGUGACCAUCUGUGUAUGGUCAUUAGUUACUAUUCAUUAGUUUGUGCCGCACUUAACAAAUUUUCUGUUUUCUUUGAGUUCUUCUAUAGGUUGCCUCUGAUGGGACAUAAGUUGAUGGUGCUGUUGUUUUCUCUGUGAUUCAUGGAUAGGUAAUGCAGAAUGCUUUCUCGUGUUAUACUUUAUUAAGAAGUUCAGAAAUCUUUGAAAAUUUAAAGCAAACCUCUUGCUAUAUUUUCUGAUACUUUUUUCCUAUAUUAGAUGAAUAACUGAUUUGGAAUGUAUGACUAAAUUUCUGCGCAAUCGCUGGGAAGGAUCAAUGAAGUUCUACUUUUAUUUUCUCUGCAGUUUUUUGUGCUUAAGCAGCUGUCACUUUCGGCAGUAUCUAGAGUAUCUAGAGUAGUUUGCUCUACAUCAUUACUAAUUAAAUCAACUACAGGUAGACAGACUAAACUAAACUAGUUUAUCGCCUUGUCAUUGAUCAACGACACAAAUGAACACACAAACCCCACACCUACACAUAUAUAAACUAUAAAAGUCGCAAAUCAUAUGAGAAAAUUCUUCAAUGCUUAUGCACGUCUCUUCUUGCAGAUUAUAGUCUCCUGGUUGCUCUAAGUUGUAGGUUUUUUUGGCUCCCUAAUGUACCUUUCACAAUUUGAAGGCAAUGAGAUGCCUUGUAUUUUUCCCUCUCUGGUGGAAAAUGUUUCCUUCAACUAACCCUAACUUCAUCUCUGCAUUAAUCAUCAUUUUGUUACUAACUGAUUCUCAGGGAGACUAAACUGACGCACACCUUAAUAGAGUCUUGAUGUGAUUGCGGCUUGUAAAUAACAAAAUCAUAGUCCUAAACUUGUUGGGAAUCCCUAAUCUGGAAGUAUUUCCCCUGCGCUGAUUAGUCAACUAGAGAGUCACAAUUGUUCAACUGCAAAAUCUUGGUCUUUUUUUUUUGCAAAUCAAAUUUGCACUACGUAGAUAAAUGUUAACUGAAUGCUACAAGGUAGAGAAAAGGAUAGCUGAAUUAAGAAUAGGACAGGUAGACAGUAAAAGAGCUAUGGGAAAGUAGCGGGCUGUCCUCCCCAUUUAGUUGGUAGUGUUGGCAGUGAUGUGUAUUUUCAAAGUUGCUGCUUUGCCAUCAUUGUGGAUUAACAGCUACUAAUUGCAUUUAUGCGGAACUUUCACUUUAGAUUCCAGAAGUCAGUUCAAUUUUCAGCCAAUGUAUGUCUACUUAACAAUUCGUUGCAUUUCAGAAUUCCUUAAUCUGCUUGUUCCAUAUUCGUCAAUGUUUUAAUUGAUCUAUUUGUUAUUCGGUAGUGAUAUACUCACUGCUGGAUCGGCUGCCCAAAAGCUUGUUCCUGCUAUUCUAUCCAACUGCCUUAGAGAAUAAAAUGCUUGGAAGAUCUUGUUUUGCUAUAGAAAUCAGGCAACAAAAUAUGGAAAAACUUUGAUGUCAUUAAGAUUAAUUAAGUCAUUUGAAACUUAUGUGAUGUGUGAAGAUAUCAACUUAUAUUGUUACUGUUGAAAUAUUAUAGCACAUUACAUUGACCUCUAGUUCUUUUUUCUGAUGAUUUCUAGUAUUGUGAUUUUCUAUGACGUGCACUCUUGUGUUCUUAGUUUUAAAAUGCUACAACAACUCGUGUGCCAAAUAACUACUCUCAUGAAGUAGAAAAAGGCAUCCUACUAGAAACUUUAAAAUUGUCUCUUCACGCCCUCCCUCUAUCUUCCUUCAAUUUUUCCUCUUUAUCUUCCAAAGACUUUAUUAAUUGUACUUUUUUACUAUUUGGUGGAAUAUCAUUAGAAAUAGUGACAACUUGGCCUCAUGAUUGUAGAAUGUAGAUGUUAUAUAGGGUGUUAUUCUAAUGUCAGAUAUAGUUAUGGUUACGAAAAAGCAAACUAAAUGUUAUUGAGAUUUGAGGAUAUAGAGCAGGGAUAAGAAUGGCAGUGAGAGUAUGAACCAAUUCUGGUGUGAUUGCCUUAUAUAUACCUUUCGUUACUUAUGGAUGAAAGGAAGAUGAGCAGCAAAUGGGCCCCACAAUAGUUCCUUAAACAUUAAUUACUGAUUCUGUGACUACUGUUUUCUGUUUUAAGUGUAUAACAGUUAAUAUUUUGUUUUAAAUUAUUCUUUAUGUUUAAUUUAUAAAGUGCAAUUUUGGCCUUAGUACAGUGGCAGUAUCGGGCCAAGACCUGUGGCUAACCCAGUGGCAGUCUGCUUGGCCCAGUUUGGCUGACCAUGUUGAUGCUGUAGUGACACACAAACAACAGCCAGGUUGACAUAGCAAUAUUUAAGUUAUAUCUCAAAAUUGGAGUUAUUAGUAUCUAAGGCUUUAUAUUUCUUUUCUUUUAGCCUUUAUCACGUUACAAGUCUUCCCGAGGACAAGGACUAUUGAUGUAGACCCUUUUAUCCCUUUUAGAAUGGUUGGAUUGGUUAAUUAGUAGAGUUCUUGUAUGUAAAUUGAAAUCUUGUGAGUAGAGAAGGAAACCAUUACCUUCAAAGAUAAGAGGCUCGAGGCAUCUCAUCCCCUUGAAGAGGUUGGAGUAAGGAAGGAAACGAUAAGGCCACUGUUACGGGAUCGCAAACCCCCAUCCGAAUUGCGAUUUAGGUCUCACGUUCCGAAUCAUUGUGGCUUCUUAAUCUGGAUUGCAAAAAGUAGUAUUUUGAUUUUUUAGAUCUAAUUUGUUAGGUUUUCGUAAAUAAAUGUGUUUUACAUGAUAAAUUAAUACAAAAAAGUCAAAUAUCCGUAUGAAAAAAGAAAACCGGUUUUGAUUAGAAGAGAGAAUAACUAAUCCGAUCUUAAAUGAAAGAAAAGAACUAUACAGUAACAAAGUUAAGUAAUUGACUUUUAUAGACGUUGAUUCAUAUUAACAUUCCGAACUUGCCAUGUUCUAGAAUAACAUUCUGAUUUAUUCUAUCCCGUUGUAUGACAUUCCUGAGAAACUAACAUACCACAUCCACGUACUCAUACCACGUACCAUAUCAUGAUAUAAUAGUUCUAUAUAGAUGGCUGUGAAAAAUAAAUAAAAAACAGUUCAUGUAGAUAUAAUUUCUUAUAGAAUGCUUCUUGGCUAUCUAUCUUUUCAUUACGCACCAAAACUAGAAAGCAACCUUGACAAAUCUACGAUUCUACAUAGAAGUCAUACAUGUACUAGUACAGGCUUUUAGUUGUUAAAUAAACUCAGAAGGGACUUUUAUCUGUUUUAGGAAGGAUUGGAUUUCCGGAUUUUCUAUGAUUUGUUGAUGGUAUGCCUUCAUCUCUGGCUGGGAGUACUUACAUCAUUAAACUGGGGCCUAAACAUGCCAUCAUAUCUAUUGCAUAUUUCUAAUAUAGUGUUAUUUUGUAUUUUGAUGAUAGCGUUUGUCAAUAAAAUCUAUGUAAUAAUGGCAUUUUAGCACUUUUUACCCUCUCUUUUGAACUGAGAUUUUUAGCAAAGUUUUUUACACACCUGAACACAAAAUUUCGAGACGAUUGCAAACUCAAGUUCUUGUACGUCUUCUGUUUUUCGAGAUUUGUCUAGCUUCUCAUCUUUUGCUCAAUCUUCUGUUAUUCAAGAAAUAGUUAGAUUUUUUGACCAGGUUAGAUUCAAAGAGAGCCCCUUUGGUGUUAUCAUGAGUUUGGUGGAUAAGCAGUCUUAUUUAUAUGUGGUGAAAUAAAAUGAUCUUUUUAGACCAUUUAUUUCCUACAUUCUUUCUGACUCUUCUGUUGUAUGUACAUAUGGAUUGGCUUUAAAUGCAGAGCAUUUAAAAUCUUUCAUGGAGGAAAAUUUGAUCAAGAACGGCUUCUUUAAAAUCUUCUAGGCCAAACUGGAAUCUUCAAUACUCCAGUAAGUGUCAUAUUAAAUAGGUAUUAUGUACCUUGACUAAUGGCAAAGUUGUCGAAGCAAAAUGAUUUGUUUGGACCAUUUAUUUCUUUCAAUAUUUUUGGCAUCUCCAGGACUCCAAAAUUUGUUGACAACCUCACUAGCUACUUCUAGCUGUAUCAGCUGACAUAGGUAGACUUCAUUUGCAGAACCAUAAUUAAGGAACUGAAGAAACUCAUCUGUAAUCCUACUACCAUUGUGCCUUUUCAUUGUUUGAAGGCUACGAUGCAUUGUUGCAGCACUUCUUUUAUUUUCACUUUUGUUUUUUUUUUUUUUCAUCCAAUGUUUCUUUUUCGUAUCAUUUUCUGUUUUCAGAGAUAGUCCUAUACAGGUGCUGGAUAUGGUCUUCUAUUGGCUGCAGAUGCAGGUUUUCCAAGCUCGAAAAUGGAGACAGAGAUAUUGGUGGGUGGUGGAGACAGUACAAAAAGGAUAGCGAAGAGGUAAUUUCCGAACUUUUCUCUCUUAUGCUCUUGCUAGCUCAGCGAACAUGAAUUUUUCAGUCUUCUUUAUUAUCAUGUCGGCUCUAGAUUCUUCUGUCGAAUCAGGAAGUUUAGUUUGCAUACAAUACUAUAGACGGUUUCAGAUUGAUUCUCACCUAAUUAAUUAAUGCAUAAUGACAACUGAUAAAUAUUACUCUCAGAAAACUAACCGAAUGGAGGUUUGCUUAGGAGGAAAGAAGAAAUUGCCUUUUAGUGUUUUUCGGUGGGUUGUUAGAUAGAGCAAAUCAUCCCUUAUGUAAUCACCUUAUAUUUGAUUUCUAGACCCCCGGAAGAUCCCCCACUCUCCCUUUCCUCUCCUUGGUGCUGACUCUUUAAGAUACCCAACCAGAAGGAAGUUUAUUGGGUUAUGAGCAAAACAGAAGGAAGUCUAUAAAAACAUUAAAACCAAACAGAUAGGAAACUUGUUUUUAGGAUAAAAACAGUUUUAUGUAAGGCUUACAAGGGAAUCAAACACACACUGAUUUUUGAUAAAAUAAAUAAAAAAGGGGAUAACUAUGAUUCCAAAGUCAUUGAAUUUCUAUCAAAUAAACAACAGCGAAAAAAAAAAAUAUUUGAACUUCAGUUCGGUUGAAAGUUAUUUUCAAUCUGAAAAUCAUUUUUUAAACAUUUUUGGAUUCGGGUUUGGUUUGGGUAUUGGCAAAAAUUAUAAUCAAAACAUAACCAAAAUCAAAACCGUUAUGUUUUUUUUUUUUGAGAAAUGCUACUUGUACACCGAAUUUUUAGUGUAAAUUUUACAUCCUUCCAUCAAAGGAUUUAGACAAUUCCUUUUGAAUUUUUAGCAUUUAAAAAUAGACAUAAGAUUAAUGUGUAAAAGUUGACCCUUCAGUAGAAAGAGUGUAAGAUUCUCAUUUUUGGAUCAUUGCUCUUUAGUCAUAUAUGUUCACUUCUAUUGUUUGGUUUAUGUUGCUUUGUAUUUUUUCAAAACGUCGUAAUUGAUUUUGUUUUAGGUAGUGAUAAAGUCAACCGCAAAUAAGAAAGAUAUAGAAAAAAUAAUGAGAAAUUAAAUGCCGUAAUUUUUUUCUCUUAUGCACUAGUGUAAAUAUUUUUGAUAAAAUAAAUAAUCAAAAUGAAUAACUAUAAUUCCAAAGUUAUUAGCUUUCUAUUAAAUAAGCAGCAGUAAACAAAAUAAUUUUUAUCUAAACUUUAAUUCAAUUAAAAAUUAUUUUUAACUUAAAAAUUAGUUGAAGGACAAACAAACAUGCCAUUGCACCGACUAAAACUGUCGCCUUCGACUUCAGAUUCGGUUAACAUAUCUGAUAUUCAUAUUCGUUCACAUCCCUACUUUCAUGCACUGUUCUCGGCGGCCAUCCCCAGUGCGAGUCUCCAGAUAUUCCAAAGUGCUCAAAAUUCUGUCUCAACGUUAUUAAAGUAACAUUCCUUUGUGUGCAAGACAUCAAUAUUCCACUCAUCAGGUUACUCUCGAACGAAUGACUUUGGAUUGCAACACCCUUGCUUUUUUCCAUACUGGAUCCUGCAAACAUAGGUAUAAUGUUUUAAAGUAUAUUCAUGCCAUUAAGAUCUGUUAGAAAAAAUCAUAAAAUACUUAACCUUAGUUAGUUGAUGUGAUGAAUUGAUUUUUUUACUUCUCUUUAACUAAUAGUUGGGAUUUAUGGAGGGACAUAUUUGUGAUGACAAAAAGAUUAUUUCACUUAUAAAAUAAACAAUAGUUUAACAGUAAUAAAUCAGAGGAAUAUAUUUGAAAAUAUUAGUACUUUUAUAUGGACAACAUAUGAAAAUUAAAUUCUAUAAGAAUAUAUUUAUAAUUUACUAUGUUUGUAGAGACUUGAAUAAAAUUAACCUAUAUUUUGAAGUUGGCACACCUAACUAAUCUAUAGCUUGAAGACAAUUUAACUGUUAAUUCAGUUAUCAAAUUAUCAUUUUAAAAUAAUUAAAUUUGAAAUAAUAUAGCAGUUUAAAUGGCUAAUAUUUAUGGUUAUAUCAUUUUUCGAGGCCCUGGAUUGUAAGGCUCAGGCUCUAAUUUUUUAAAACAAAAAAAAUCGUUAAUUUUGUUAUUAUAUUACAUUCUAGCGAUGAUAUAAACUAAUUUAUCAUUAUAAUAGUUUAAAUAAAUAGCCAGGAAUUAUUAUUAUUAUUAUUAUUUUGAGAGAUAGAUAGCAGGCUACCCGCUUCGUUUAUUUCGUUUAGAAAUAAAUUUAGCUGAAAAUGUGAAUCAACUAGGAUUCAAACUUGAGAGCUCGGGUGCCAAUCAUCAAGCUUUUUGCCACUUAUUCUAGAGACGGUCGAUUAAUAGCCAGAAAUUAUUGUUAUGUCAUUUUUGGUGGCCAUCAUCGGCUGUGACACUCCUGCUUUCAUGCCAAAGUUGUGGUCAGGGCAAAAGGAUAGUACAAAGGUUGAAAGGUAUCGCCUUUUUAAGUUAAAGCAGGUCCUCGCACCGGUUCUCUCUUUUUUAUGAUAUUUUUGGGGGUAUGUUGGCGAAGUCUUUAGGACAAAAUUCUCUGAUCUACUCUAGGAUAGAUCUGAGAAAGAUUCGCUACCUCCUUUCAGGGACAAACUUGAAACUUCCGGUGGACGUACUCUCCAAACCUACUUGGUUUUUGAACUGUCGCCAAUUCCAUAACCAAAAGCCCUCCACGUUUAGCCAUUUUGAAAUUGGCCAUUUAAUUUUUUUAGAUCCUUUAGCAUUUAAUUUUGUUUAUUUGAAUUAUAUAGUUAGUUUAUUUAAAAAUUUAUCAAAUUUAAUAAUUAUAUAUUAAUUAGAGUCCAGUUGGGAAUUUAUCGAUAGCACGAAGCAUUUGGUACUAUCAAGUUUUCUAUCGUUAGAUUUAUCUCUUUUAUCAUUUUUAUCCAUUUGAUUAUACUAUUCAGCUAACCACCCACUCAACUCUAGAGAGCCUACAUCAUUCUAACCGUACAUCUUUUAAUUUAAAGACAGAAAAUUUAUUAGCACCCAGUCAUUUGUGCUAUUAAUAAUAUUCCAGUCUAGUUCUAUUAAUUAUUAAUAAAUUUAAUUUAAUUUUCUAAGUGCAAAUUAAUUAAUUUUAAAAAACUCAAAAAGUUAAAAUGUUUAUUUUAAAGAAAUAAAAAGGAAUGGCUAUGAAAAGAGGAAGAAGCUGGCCCGGAAGAAAUACUCCUGCUACCACCAUAGUAGCAGCCUGUAUAAGUACUGAAAUAGGAGUGGGUCCUUCCAUAUGUGAAGAAAAAAUUAUGCCGAUUUAGCAACUGCACUGACGAAUAAUGAAAAAGAAUUGAUCCAUUAUUAUGAGAGAAAGAUAGCAUGCUAUUCAAUUUAUUUAUUUUUUUUAUAAAUAAAUUUAGCUGAAAAUGUGAAUCAACUAGAAUUUGAACUUAGAAUCUCGGAUAGCAACCACCAUGCCUUUCCUAGUGGCUGGCAUUGCCGUCUUCUUCUCCAGUUUUUGGCUGGAUUUCCGGCCAAAUUAUCUGGCCUGGAUUCUUUCCUCAUCUUUUUUUUCUCUUAUUUUUUGAUUUGCUUCUUAGCUCUUCUCUACAACGAUCUAUCUCUCUGUUUUCUCAACCCUCUUCAUCGUCUCUCUUCUUCUAACUUUCGGACGACAUUUGAAGACGGCACUCGUCGGAGCCAGAGGUAACAGGCGCUGCGGGUGCCGAAUUGAGUUCGGAGUUAGAACUGAGAGCUUGUUUUAGGUGUUGCUUUUGUUGUAAUUUUUUUUUUUCCCUAUCUUUUCUCUUUUUAUAUACGAGAAUCAUGUGGCUUGCAGAGAUUUUCGGAAAAAGAAAAAAAAAAAAACUAUCACACUAGUUCGAAUCUGCGAAACCUCCCUUCGAAUCCUCUGGGAGGGCUUCUUCUUUUCCGGCUUUUAUUACUGCAUCUCCUCCUUCCGCCUCCCACAGUCCCACCUCAAUCUCCACUUCCGACCUCUUCUCCUCCGCCAUCACCUCAUCUGGGGAUUUGACUUUAAUAAUUGUUUCUCUUCAUUUCUGGCUUCAUUUUCUCCCUUACGCCGUAUCAACUUCGGGAUGUUUAGAGCUUCCUACGUGGAGAGAGAGAGAGAGAGUUCGAUUACUAUAUUAUCGAUAGCACCAAGCAUUUGGUGCUAUCGAGUUUUCCGUCGUUAAAUCUACUCUUUUGACCAUUUUCUCAUAUUAGAUCAUAAUCCGUCGUUAGAUCUACCCCUUAAAUGAUUUUCAUUCGUUAGAUAAUACUAUUCAACCAACAAUCUACUCAUUAAAGGGUCGAAAAUCUAAUAGCAAAGUCGUUAGUGUUAUUAAGUUUUCGGCCAUUGGAUGUGUUAUGGCGAUGGAAACAUGGGGGAUUAGGACAAACGCGGGAGUACCAGAGUAGAAGAAGAGGGGUAUAGAGAGAUAGAUUCGGCGAGGAAUCUGGGAAAUAAAGUAGUAGUAGUAGUAGUAAGUAGUAGUAGUGGGUCGGGUUGUUGGAGACCGGGUUGGAUCGGCUGUUGCUGGGCUAAGUGUUGCUCACCGAGCCAUCCAACUCAAGCCCAUGCGAGGAGCCUACCCAAAAAGGAGAUCCAACCGCACAUUGAGAGCCCGGAUGACCUAUUGGGAUAUUUUAUUUCUUUUAUUAUCCUUAGUUUUUAUGAAGUUGCAUAUUAGUCUUUAUGUAAGAGAUAUAAAUAGUAGAGGGGGUAAAAUCUAAGGUAUCGUUUGGUUCGGAAAUAAAUUUUUUUUGGUUAUUCCUAAGAUAGGUACAACUUCGGGGAUAAACGGGAAUAAAAUUAAUUUUACAUUUGGAUGAAAAGUGGGUUAUAUUCAAGAAUAGGAAAAAUAACAGAAUAAAAGUAAUUAUAGUAGUUAAAUAAUAAUAUUGUAUAUAAUUAAUUAACAUGAAAAUAUUAAAAAUAUUACGUAAAUGAUAUUUAAUAAAUUAAUUAAUUACUUUAUCAUGAAUAUUAUUAAAUAAUCAUAAAUACAAUUAAUAAAUUAUUAUAAAUUAAUUUGAAGAUUAAUUAAUCAUUAAUCAAGUAUCCUAAUUAAUUAAUCAUUAAUCAGUUAACCAUGAGUACUUUUAAUUAAUAAAUUAACUAACUAUAAAUAAUUUGAUAAGUUAACAAAUUAAGCUAAUAAAUUAAUAUAUUAGUAAAUUAAUUAAUUAAUGAAUUAAUGAAUUAGUUAUUUAAUUAGUUAUAUUGGUCAAAAUAUUAAUUAAUUAAUCAGUAUAUAUAUUAGUUAUUACAUAAACACACUUAAUAGUUAUUAAUUUAGCCUAAGCUGUUUUCGAUAAUGAAACUUCAGAAUCGAUGAUAAGCCUUCUUAAUCUUGAUCUAACGUAUUUGAAGUAUCUUAAAAUAAAUUAUGAUUUUUUGAUAUCAUUUACUUAGUAAUUAAAAGGAUUCAAAAUCAAUGAUUAAAAAUAAAAAUCUCGCAAUAAGUUAUGAUAUAAUGCAAAAAAUUUUUAUCAAAAAUAUUAAUUUUACUGUAGAUAGUAUAAAAAAUUUUGAUCAAAAUUUCAUAUGAUUUAAAUACUUCUAUAUCAUUAAACUUGCAAAUAGUCAGCAUACAUCGAUAGUGUAAUUGAGCAGUCGUGAGCUCAAUCAACCCUAUUUUUACCCUCUUUUUUAAAUGCACAAGCUGGAGGAUUGAGCUCUUAACCUCCUAAUCAGCUAUCCAGAUUACAAACUAACUGAACUGAGCAAUGGCGGUAAUUGAACGUAUCUGAUGAUCUGGAAUUGGUAAAUACACAAUCAAAUACACAGUCGCUAAUUAAUAUCAUUACCAAGAAAACUAGUACUUGUGCUGCUUAACAAGAGCGUUCUCUUUGGUCAACAAUCAUGGACGGCGCUCCACGCAUGCAUGCAAAGCUUUAGUCUUUUACAACCACAAGGACCAAAAAUAAAAUGCCUGGUGCGUGCAGUAUAUAUAUAGGAAAGCCAAUCAAGCAAGCCUGCAUAAUUAUUCCAUAAGUAGAGAGGGCACAUCACAUCACAUGCAUCUCACGGUCAUCUAGUUUGAUAAAGUGAUGAAUAAAACUACAUUACAAUAUUAGAGAAGAAAAUUUUGGAAGUACUUUUAGCCACCGUAUUGUCAAUAUAAGUCAAAAUUAGUACCGGAGGCCAAUGCUAAAACCUUCUAUUUUCUACUUUGUUUCUUGUUGCAUGCUUAGCAGCUAAGAACGAGGCUUACUAGGAUUGUAAGGAGGAGGCGGCGGCGGCGGCGGCGUCGUCUGUGACGGCUGUGGCUGCUGUGGCUUAGGGCUCAUCUCGGGGGCCUUAGCGAACCGGCCAUUGAUCCUCGGCCUCAUUUCGGCGUAUGCCUGUCUCAAGGCAUACCGGAUGUGCUUGUCGUACCUACGCUUCUUCUUCUUCUCUUUGUAUCUCAUUACCUUCGCCUCCCUCUCCGCCAAAGGGUCCCCCUGAUUCGGAGCUGUGUCGUCUCCUGCGUCCUUGGCGUUCUCGCUUGAAGCAGCGGUGAAUCUGCUCCCCGAGAAUGACGUCUGCAUCGGAAUUUAGUUUACAGGGAUUAAUUUGUGAGCAUAUAUAAUGGGUGAUAUUUGCAUUGGUUAUGUGGCGAGGGGAACAAGCACACAAAAUGUCGACAUUGUUGUACAAAGUUCAGCUUCUGUGACUCUAUAAACUGCGACAAAACAUGCUUCUCACCAAUAAUAUUAUAUAUUGUGCCUAAAUAUUAUUCAGAGUUUUUAAAUUUUAAUGCACUGUAUAAUGUUAUAUAGAGUUCAAAAAAUAAUUAAUCGAUGGCGAUGCUUUGAUGGACCAUGUUAAUUAAAGUACUUUAAUUUACUAUAAUAACAAUCAUUUCCCGUCCAACUUAACUAAAAUUACGAGGCCAAGCAAACAUGUGCAACAAGCUACAUCAGUGGAUAAAAUAUGAUCACGGCGCAUCAGUUGAUUACUUAAACUAGUAAUAAACGAAACACGCAAAUUGUGCCAUUCACAAUCAUUUUCAAUAAUCUCCACUUUAUCGCUGUAUUUAUAUAGGCUAAUGCUACUAUCCUAUUAAUAGGAUAGGAGCACUUGUCCUAUCAAGUUGCUCUUGAUGAUCGAGAUUCCGAAUCGAUGAUCGGAGCUGUUGAAGUUGAUCUAGAGUAUUUGAAAUAUCUAGAAACUAAAUUUCAUAAAUUUUAAAAAUUAUUUAUAUGGUGAUCAAAGUGUCGUAAAAUCGACAAUUUUUGACGGCCUAUAUGAGCCGUUUGCUUGUUUAACGAUGUAAAGCAAUCCAAAUUGCUUGAAUUUUUGAUAGAAAAUUUUUUAUACUAUUUAGAUAAUGUUUGAUAACUCUGAUUGUGAAUUGAGAAAGUCUAACCUCUAUUUUAAGAAGGCUAUUCAUUUAUGACUGUUCAUUUUUCAACUCUUAGGAUGAACUUGAUAAUGAUUUUUAAAUAUUACAAAAUUUGGUUUCUAAACAUUUCUAAUUUUGUAGAUCAAUUUUAAUGGUGCCGAUUAUUAAUUUGAAGUUCCGAUCAUUCAAAACGACUUGAUAGGACAAGUGCUCCUAUCCUAUUAAUAGGAUAGUAGCCGGACUCAUACAUAUACAUAUAUAGAGUCCAGCUACUAUAUUUUUAUGAGUAUUUAUUUUUUUAUACUCAUAAGUUUCGGCCCUUAAAUUUAUUUUAUUAAUCAUUUUCACCCGUUAGAUCAUACUAUUCAACCAACUACCCACUCAACCCUAAGGGACCACUAUCAUUCUAAGUUGGGGCCACAAUCAUCCUAGCCACACAUCCCAUCAAUCAACGGUUAAAAAUUUAUCAGUACAAGGGGGUCUAUACUCAUAAGAGUAUAGUAGCCCCAGCCUAUAUAUAUAUAUAUAUGUUGGAGAGAAAUUGGGUGUCUCAAUUUUUCUUCUCUUUGAAUUUUUCUUCAAUAUCUCUUCCUUUUUUAUUUUAACCAUCCAUCAAACUUGAUGGGUGGUUAGAAAGUUAGGAGCACAAGCGCUGUUGUGCUCCUAAUAGCACAGUAGCCCUUCUCUCUCUCUCUCUCUCUCUCUAUAUAUAUAUAGAGAGUUGAACUAGAAUACUAUCGGUAGUAAAAGAACCGUUUUACUACUGAUUUGUUUUCGAUAAUAGAGCUUUCAAAUUGACGAUCGGCUUCGUUAAAUAUGAUCUAAACCAUUUAAACUAUCUAGAAAUCAAAUUUCACGCACUUUUGAUAUUGUUCUUUUAUUCAUCAAGUGAACAGAAAAAUAAAUGGCUGAAAAUGAAUACUCUUUAAAAAACGAUGAUAGGAGUCUUGUAAUCAAGAUCAAGAGUAUAGAUCUUGUUUCAAAUAGUUUCAAAAUUUUCUAACAAAAAUUCAAUUGAUUUGGAUAUCUUUACGCCGUUAAAUGAGAAAACGCCUCUUACCGACCAUUAAAAAUACAAUUUUUAAAACCCUUUGAUCAUUAGGCAAAUAAUGUCGAAAAGAUUUGAAAUUUGAUUUCUAAACACUUCAAGUGGUAUAGAUCAUAUUCAACGGAGCCGAUCGUCAAUUUGAAAGCUCUAUCAUCGAAAACAAAUCGGUAGUAAAACGGCUCGUUUACUACCGAUAGUAUUCUAGCAAAACUCUAUAUAUAUAUUAUAGAGUAAGGCUACGAUGCUAUUGGAAGCACGGAGCCUUCCGUGCUUCCAGCUCGUUUUCGAUGUUGCGACUUUCGAAUCGUCGAUCGGCUUCGUUAAACUUAAUCUAGAGUAUUUGAAGUAUCUAGAAAAUAAACUAUGCGAUUUUUCGAUAUUAUUUAUCUAGUGAACGAAGGGGCUCAAAAUCAACGGCUGAAAAUAAAAAUCUUACAAAAUAUGAUAAUAUGACAUUAAAAUUUUAGAUCAAAGAUAUUGAUCUUGUUUUAUAUAGUAUAAAGAAUUUUCUAUCAAAAUUUCACCUGAUUUGAAUAUUUCUAUACCUAAACUUGCAAACGGCUCACUACGGCCGUUAAAAUUAUUGAUUUUGAGCCCCUUCGAUCACUAGGCAAAUGAUAUCGAAAAAUCAUAAUAUUUAUUUUCUAGAUACUUGAAAUACUCUAGAUCAAAUUUAACGGAGUCAAUCGACAAUUCGGAAGUCGCAACAUCGAAAACGAGCUAGAAGCACGGAAGGUUCUGUACUUCUGAUAGCAUAGUAGCCUCACAUUAUAUAUAUAUAUAUAUAUAUGUAUAUAUAU
rnacentral:lncRNA from 1 species